rnacentral:lncRNA from 1 species
CGCCGGCCAAGGCCAGGUAGGCCAGGUCAGUUGGCGGGUCUGAUGCCGGUGCCGGGGACCAAAGAGACAAGGCUGUUAGCCGAAUCCGAGGGAAACUGCGGCGUGGCCCCCUCGGAACCUGCCAGCUCAGCAGCCACCGUCCCUGGGACUUGUAGUCCUCGGCUCCUCGGGACGCCGUCGUUGAGUUCCGCCAAGACGCGAACGGGAACUACAUUUCCCACAAGGCCGGGAGAAGUUGGGGUAACCGAGAAAGCGCCCCGGCUGGAUGCGCCUUCCAGGUGCGAUGGGGCCGCUUCCAGGAGCGAGCGGCCGUGCGAGGCCCCGCGCGUUCUCCCUCGUGAGGCGGCCCGCGGGUUAAAGGAACCGCGAGCCGGGGAGCUGAGACUAUGAGCAGUUCGGUGGCGGGGCCGGACUGCUGCGGAGGCCUCGGCAAUAUUGAUUUUAGGCAGGUACUGUCCUAACCCGGCGGCCACGAACCCCCGCCGAAGAACUGGCAAGGCCUGCGGAGUGCGGGCGGGCGCCGCCUCCAACGCUUGCUGGGCGGGGCCACGCUGUUACCAGACAACGGGGGCGGGACGUGUUGGGCGUGGCAGCUUGAUCCCAGAAAGUUGGCUGGUGGGCGGGCACGUGUGUGCGUGAGUGUACGAGUGUGCCAGUUGUGCAUCAGCCCCAGAUUUCGUGUCAGAGGGUGGGGAGUUCCGGAGGUUGUGUGUAUGCAAGGAUGUCUCUGAGAUUAUGUAAAUCUUUGGAAUUGUAGGGGCAGAGUUACUCUGAGUGUGUGCCUGGGAGUGCAUGCAUGACUGAGGCAGUAUCAACGAGUGUGUAACUGUGAAGGAGGCUGAGCCUGUGUGUCUGGGGGCAUGCUGUGUGGAUGGCGAGAGCAUGUGGAUAUUUGGGAACCGUGAGGAUCCCUGCUCCCCUUCCAUCUCGGCAGCCACCAAGAAGUGUUUGGAAUCCUGACCCCUCCAAGCACUGGCCCUGAAGGGACUGCAGAGCAAUUCCUUCCUGGAAGGGGGGGGGGAGUGUUGUAUUGGGAUGAGGAUGGGGGAAUGGGUCCUGGAGCCUGGGGACUUGCUUGCCCCUCUGCAAAGUCAUGGCCAGAGAGUUUGCCUUUUCUGCCGUCUUUCCAAGCUCCUGGUUCAAUGGAUUUUGCUCUCCUGCAAAAUCUUUGCUUCCUAUUAGAUUGUUCAUUCACUUUUUUUUUUUUAACCAACCACUCCUUUUUUUGUUGUUAAAUGUUGAUGGAUCUUUAUUUUAUUCAUUUAGUUAUAUGUGGUGCUGAGACUCAACCAGUGCCUUGCACUUGCUAGGCAAGCGCUCUAGCACAGAGCCACAACCCUAACCAACUCUUUAUGGUUAUCUUCCAACUCUUUAUGGAAGCUGUAAGAUCUUAUCUAGUUUAUUUGCUCCCUUCCUGCAUUCCUCACCUGUGUUCUUAUUCAUUCCUUCACUGAUACAGCUAGCAUUUCUUGAGUGUCUUGUUCUAGGACAGCAAGGACAGGUUUUUAGGCCUGGAAACAAAGAACUGUUCUCUGAAGGAGAUAAAACUGGUCAAUGGAGAGAGCACCUGGUGGAGAGUCCCUAUCUGUAGUGAGGUGAUUGGGAUCCCAGCAGGAGUGAUAAACCAGUGGGGUAGGAUUUCCUGCUGGAGGUUAGCAGGUGCACAGGCCUUGAGGGAAUAAGAGGAAAGCUGGUUGUUGGCCCUGAGGGUGUUCAGGACAGUUGAUGUGGACAGGAAAGGAGAGCAAUAGAAGACAGGGAGAAGACGAGUUUUCUUGUUUUAGUAAAUUUGUCAUUUAAGCAUAAUAUCCAGGUGGGUGAGUGGCAGGUUGUAUGUGUACACCUUCUGUAUCUUCACGAGGUGAACCUAUUUAUUGUGACCACCCAGAGCAAGAUAGGUCAUCACCAGCCCCAGGAAGUACCCUCAGGAUCCUCCCUGGGGAAGACUGAUGUCAUGUUUGAUGGAAUCCUUAAGAGUCUUCUACCAUCAAUGGCCAUUAGAGACUCACAGGGCUGUAAUUCAUCUUUCUUCCUAUUGCAAUGCUGGGGAUCAGUUCCAGGGCCUUGCACAUGUUGGGCAAGUGCUCUACCGCUGAACUACAUCCCCAGCCUCUAUGAUUCGUGUUUUCUACCCUAAUACAUCACAGAUAGAAAGGGCACUGGCUGGAAAGGGGGCUAUCAUCUUCAGGGUGGAAUGCUAGAUGGUGGUUGCUGGCCUGUGGUGGGGGAGUGGAAGCCAAGCCUGUGUUGUAGACCUGGAAAGGCCAGAGGUGCAGGGGUAGGUGGUGACGAUUACCUGGCGUGUGUGAGGAGGGCUUUUCUGCCCCUUUUCCUUCCCCUCCAGAGGGGAAGGCUGACAGGGCUGUGUGGCUGGAGACUGGGCGCAUUAGGGGGACAGGUCAGGGUGACCCUCGUUGGCUAACAUUCUGUUUUUUCCACCGCUGCGCUUUUGGUUCACUUAAGCUUCCUGUUGCCAAGGGAUUUUUUUUUCUUAAAGAAACAGCAACAACUUAUAUAACAUUAUGUAUGUGUUCUGUGGUUGCUUUCCUUCAAUCAUAGUCUCUGUGUUUAAAAUAUGCCAGUUCCUGGCCUGAGAAGACUUUCAAGAAUUUUCUUAACCCUGUGAGCAUCUGAGCUGUAGGUUCUCAGUGCUGUCAAUGGAAACAUCAUGUGUUCCAUAUAUCAUGUAAACUUUGGGGCAGGGGUUAGCUAGCUCAGUGGAAGAGCCCUGGCUUAGCAUGAAUGAGGUCUGCCCUGGGUUUGAUCCCCAGUACUGCAAAACAACAACAACGUUCUUUUUUAAAGCAGCCACGUUAUGUAAAAAGAAAUAGAAAAAAAAUAAUUUUACCAAGAUACAGUCUACCUCCUGGAUCUGUAGUUUCUGCAUUCAAGGAUUCUACCAACCACUGAUUAAAAAGUAAAAAUCUCAUCUGCAUUAAACACAUACAGACUUCUUUCUUGUCAUGAUUCCCUAAACAAUCUACAUAACUAACUAAAUGGCAUUUAAUUGUGUUAGGUUUUAUAAGUCAUCUAGUGAUGAUGAUGUAAAGUAUGUGGGACGAUGCUUGUAGGUUACAUUACACUAUAUAUAAGGGACUUGAGCAUCUGCAUAUUUGGAUGGCUUUAGUGAUGCUGGAACCAAUUUUCUGUCAAUAUUGAGGGACAGCUGUAUUUUACUGCUGUUAAAAUAUAUAUGUUUCAUCAUGUGGUACUAUAAGCACUCCAUAGUCACAUGUAGCUGAUGGCCACUACACUAGUGCACAGUGCACCUGUUUGGGAACUUCUAUCCCUUAACCAGGUGUCAGCUGGCAUUGUAAUCUUGGUUUUGCAAUUAAUUCAUCAUUAAUUAAUUAUCAGUAUAAAGAUGGACCCCAUCGCCUCACACAUUCUAGGCAAGUGCUCUACUUACUGAGCCACUCUCCCAGCCCUUGGUUUGUUUUUAAUGUAAGAAAGUCACCCAUUGGAGUGAGGAGUGUGUCUACUGCAGACUCAUUGACUGAGGCCUUUUUUAAAAAAAAUAUUUUUGUUUUAGUUGUAGUUGGACAAAAUACCUUAUUUUAUUUUAUUUAUUUUUUUAAUAUUUAUUUUUUAGGUGUAGAUGGACAAACACAAUGCCUUUAUUUUUAUGUGGUGCUGAGGAUCGAACCCGGGACCUGGGACCCGCCCAUGCUAGGCGAGCACUCUACCACUGAGCCACAAUCCCAGCCCCCUUUAUUUUAUUUUUAUGUGGUGCUGAGGAUCAAACCCAGCGCCCCGCAUGUGCUAGGGGAGCACUCUACCACUGAGCCCCAGCCCCAGCCCCAGCCCUAGCCCUGAGGGCCUUCUUUUUGCCCUCCCUGCUCUGAGAUCCCAGAGCCUGCAUUUCAACCUGUCAGCUACAUGCAGCAAGCUGGCCCGCAGGUAGCUGGGAGGAAGACCUGCCCAUUUGUUGUCCACAAGCAAGGGCACCUCUAGGACUUAGAGGAUGGCCCCAGAGGGGAAUGCAGGUGCUGGCUUCCUGGGGUACCGAGGCUGGCAGAGCACCCUGAGCUUCUCAGAGCCAGGGCAUGGUCCAGGUGGUCCUGUUUCAGGUUUAGCCAUCAGGGCUCCUCUGCCCAUGGGAGCAGGUGGAUGAUGAUGUCAUGAACUCAGGUGUCACAAAGUGCACUUUAAUUUCUUGAUCUGUUUGAUGCCGGUAGGAACAGUGCUACAGCAAAGUCCAAAAUGAGAUAAAGGGUCUGGAGAAGCAUUAUAAAUUAUAAAGUGCAGCACGAUUUGAGGGUGGUCUUCAGAAGGCAAAGGCCUUGAAUGCAGGGAGUUGAGAGACCCCGCCACCUGCACAGCCCCCCUUUGCAUUAGGCUCAGUUGGGUGCACCACUGGAGACCAAUCCCUUUGGCAGAUACGGGGCGUCUUGACUACAGUGUCAGCCAGCUUCCCGUCAUUGUGACAAAAUACCCGAAAUAAUCAAUUUACAAGGAUCUUGGCUCACAGGGUCAGAGUUCAGUUGAUGGUUGCUUGUCCCCGUCGCCUUGGACCUGGAGUAGCACAGUACCUCAAUGUGGUAGCCCGUGGCAGAGGAGGCCCACUUUCUUCAUUAAGGCCAGGAAGCAAGGACAGACAGGAGGGUCUGGAUCCCCAUGUUCCCUUCAAGGCACAAUCCUAGGGACUUGAUUCCCUUCCACUAGACCCCACUUCCCAAAAGUUCCAUCACCUCCCAAUAAUGCUGUAGGCUGGUGACCUGGCCUUCCUUCAUGGGCCAUUGAAAGUCCUCUCAAGGAAAGAUGUUUGCCUGUUACACAGUUGUUUAAAAAAUCUUUUGCUUUUAUCACUUUAGUUAAAAUUAUAUUAGAUGGCUUGUUUUGUGGUAUUUCCAAGGACAUACAGUUUGCCUUUACACAUAUACACACCUGCUGAUUCUUUGAAUUGGUCAAGACAGACCAGGGUUGAAGCUUUCCUUUGCUCUUUGGAGUUGGGCAAGUCACCUGAAGUUAAACUCUCGGUGACUCCUGUAUCCCCUGCUGCUGUUGAGAUGGUGAUAUGGUUUUUCAUCAUUAGGCUGUUCACAUGGGGAAUCCAAUGGAUGUUUUGGGUAUUGGACUAGCUCUGAAUUCCUGGGGUGACCCCCACGGGGUCCUGCCAUGUUAUCCUUCGAGUAUCAGUCGCAGUUUUCUUGUAAUGUCAUUAUCUGGUUUUGGUGUUAGGGUAAUGCUGGCCUCAUCAAGCAAAUGGGGAAGUGUUCGCUCCUCUUCCAUAUUCUGGAAGAGAUUGUUGGAAUUGCUAUUAUUUCUUCCUAAAAUGUUCAGUAGAAUUCACCCAGUGAAACCAUUGGUGCUUGAAACCAUUGGGGCCUGGCACAUUUUUGGUGUGGGUGUGUCAAGGUUUUAAAGGAUGAAUUCAGUUCCUUUCAUAGAUGGAGGGCUAUUUCUUCUUGAAAGAAUCUUGGUAGUUGAUGUCUUUCAAGGAUUGGUUCAUUUCAUCUUUAUCUGCAUUAUUGAGUUUAUGGGUGUAAAGUUGUUGAUAAUUUUCUCUUAUCAUUUUCAUAUUUAUGAGGUCAAUAGGGAGGCUCCUUUUGAUUUCUGAUUUGGUAAUUUAUGUCUUCUCUUUCUUUUGAUCAGUCUGCCUAGAGGUUUACUGAUUUUACUGAAAAAAAAAUCCAAAAAAACCCCCAAAACCUCCCUCCCUAAAAGACCCAGCUCUGAGUUUGACAUUUUUUCCCCCUGUAUUCUAUUUUUUCAGUUGGAUUGGUAUUUGCUCUUCUCUUUUUUAUUUUUCUGGAUUUAACUUACUUCUCUAUCUCUAGUUUCUUUUCUUUUCUUUUUUUUUUUUUUUGUACCAGAGAUUGAACUCAGGGGCACUUGGCCACUGAGCUACAUCCCCAGCCCUAUUUUGUAUUUUAUUUAGAGACAGGGUCUCACUGAGUUGCUUAGUGCCUCGCUUUUGCUGAGGCUGGCUUUGAACUCGGGAUCCUCCUGCCUCAGCCUCGUGAGCUGCUGGGAUUACAGGUCUGUGCCACUGCGCCACUCUCUAAUUUCUUAGGGGCAAAGUUCACAUUGCAGAUUUGGGAUAUUUCUUUACUAAUAUAAGCUGUUCCCUCUCCACCUGGCUGGAGCUGCAGCCCGUGGUUUCUGAUACAUUGCAUUUUCAUUCAGAUCAAAAAUUAUAAAACCGUCCUUUGAAACUUCCUGUUGGCCUGUGUAUGUACUCUUUAACAGAUAUCUUUGUGUAACCGGUUUCUCAUUUAAUUCUGUUGUGGUUGGAGAGCUUCCUUUGUAUUCUUUCUAUUCUUUUAAAUUUAAGAUGUGCUUUGUGACCAAGACCCAAUGUCUGUCUUGGUGAAUGUCCCACGUGUCCUUGAGAAGCACAUGCAAUUGCUGUAUUGUGGAGUAUACCAUCAAGGUGGAAUUAAUCUAGAGGCAUUGUUCUUGUCUAUUUUCUGUCUACUUAUUUUAUCCAUCAUUGAGAGAGGAGUGUUGGUCCUCAACUAAAAUUAUGAGAUCUGUCUAUUUCACCUGCUAAUGCUGUUAAAUUUUUAACUUUAAAAAAAUUUUUUUUGAAGGUGGUGGGGUCUGGCUGUGUUGUCCAGGUUGGCCUUGAACUCCAGGGUUCAAGUGAUUCUCCUGCUGUCUGUUUAGGCUUCACCUACUUUAAUCUGAAAAGUAGGCAAACCUCCCUGGCUCACGUGGGACACAUAGUGGUAAUAGCUCACAUCAAUCAAGCUUGAAUGUGCCAUGCCAUAUACUUUCCUCGUGUUGUCUGUCUGAUCUCCUUGACAGUCUCAUGAUGAAGGUUCUGCUAUCAUUUCCACGUCAGAUAGGAACCAAAGCUCAUGAGGUUUGCCCAGGGUUGCCUGCCGGGGUGCUCUAUUUCCUGUCCAUCUGUCCUGAGCCUCGCUGAAGCCCCUUGCUGGGGUUGGCAUACUGUUAACUUCCCAGUGAAGGCUGCUGGCUUUUUGUUGUGGUCUCCAACCUGUAGUUGGGUAACUGUAUGCAGUACCACCAACCUGCUAGUUUCUGUCCUGGGCCCUGGAAGGUACAUUACGGAAAAGGGGCCCCAAGCUCACAAUGCAGGAGAGGAGCUGAGAAGAGGUAGAGGAGAUCAGGUCCCUCCUGGUUCCUACACCAGGAAAGGAACCCAUCUGGACCCUUGAUAAGGUGAUAAGGGCAUGAACCAACAGCGCCUGGCCCAGGACAUGCUUGAUGAAUGAAGAAUGACUUUACCAAUCAAUCAGUAUCUCCACCUUCCUGAAAGGAGUUAUGGAUUUGUGGGGUUGGGUGCAUCUGCAUCCAUUUCAGAUUUUUUGUUGCUGUUGCUUUUCAUUUUUUGUGGGGCUCGGGAUCAAACCAUCAAUGCCGCAGGGCCCACCAGGACUGCAAAAUUGUGCCUGAGGAGUCUCAGCCUCUUCUGCCUUUCCGUGCUGGGCCAGGCUGUGUCACUCACUUUCACCCACAGGCCUAAAACAUUUUUUCUUUGAAUUUAAGGUGGUGUUGGCCAUUCUUUUUGUUUUCUUUUAUGGUGGGACUCAGGAACACCUCAAAGCGAUGGUUUUUCCCAGAACUAUCCGCAGCUGACUGGUACUGUUGGAGAUCGCUGUCACACUUUGACCUUCUCCCAAGCUGACCUAAACCUCCCCUGUUGUGAUGGUCUUUGCCAUCCAGAGCUUGCUUGCUCUCAAAUUCCAGCCUUGCAUGGACAUGUGUUGGCUCUGCUUUAGGAUGUGUGUCUUUUCAGAGGGUCCCCCUAGAAAGCGAGGAAGGUGACAUGUGUGUUAAGGUGAAACAAACAGAUGAAGGGAACAGACUGACCUUGGCACCAUAGCACCCUCAGGCAUCCAGCACUUUCUCACCUGCUCUUGCCUCUUCCAGAACAUGAUCCUGGGUGGCCAGUCUCAUCACCCCGUUUCACUCUAGGGAAACCUGGGCUCAUAUUGACAAUGGGUGGUCCCUCUGGGGAACGGGGAUGGGUGGAGCCCUGCUCCCCGCCCAGACUGUAGGUGCCAGGACCGAGUCCUUCCUCAGCCAGGUUGGUGGCCCCCAGUGCAGAGAAAAGGGUCUGGGUGUUGACUUCAGACCAGACAUCGUCCCCCACUCCUACCAGGUGUAGGCCUGGAGAAAGACUCUGGCACGGUCUCAGGUCUGUGCCAGGCAUGGGACUUGAACCUAAGGCUGCCCAAUAAACAUGGCCUGAGUCUGCUGACAGCCAGUGAUGUGACAUGACCUGACGUGAUGAUGGAAGAGGUACUCCUGCAGCCUGAGGAGAGGCAGGAGAGGCUGUGACUCUACAGGCACGUUUUGCAGUAUGGAUUGGUCCUGUUUGAGGCCCCUGUCCCCUUUCUGGGCAGUCCCCACCUUCCUCCUGUCCUUUGAUGUAUAUGGCACAUGCAACAAAGUGGUCAGUUGUUUGCUUGCAUGAGAUCGAUGUGACUUUGACUCUCCUGGGCCCCUGCUGUUUGUUUGGAUGUCACAAUGUGGCUUGUACCUCAGGUGCUGUUGACCCACUGCAAAUAAUUCCCUGACAGCAGGACAUUGCUCGGAAGAGUCCCCAAGGGCCCUCAAUGAAGUGAAAUUGCUAUGAGCCUCUUCCUUACAAACCUGCAGGGUUUCCAUCACUGAGCCCAUUCAUCAGUGACCCUGGUGACCUGAGUUAUCCCUGGAGCUCACCUGACAUUUCCUCCUGGCUCUGGUAGGUCAUUCCUCUCCUUUAGUCAACCUCUGAUGUCCUUGCAGCCUGUGACCUUGAGGGGGAGUUACUGGGUAGCAGAAAGCUGGGACUUGUGCUGCUUGAAUGAGGUGGCCCACGCAUGAGGGCCCACGGGCUUGGGAGCUGCCCAGGGGGCCACCCAGGGGGCCACCCAGGGGGCCUCUGACACUUGCUGGGAGGGAGAGUCCCGGCACACCCCUGCUCUACUCAUAUCUGACGGGGAUUUUUCUUCCUGCUAAUCCAAUUUCAAGAGGGAGGUCCACCCUUCCGAGUGGACUUUGGGAAGUGACAGUAAUAAGGAAAGGAUGUUGGUCUGUCCCUUCUGCCUGAAUUCCACUCCCAACCGUUAGUCAUUCUUUCCUGCUAAGCAGGUGCUUCUCUUAACAACACAAAUUCUCAAGGUAACCCAGGUUACCAGAUGGAGUCCCUCCUUCCAGGGGCAGGUUGACCAGGGGCAUGGGACCUGGGUGGAGGAGGGAGGGGUGAAGCCAUAUGCUAGUUUUGAUCAAUCUGACCUUAAUUGGAAAACCUGGGCAGAUGUCAGUUGCUAUGGGGUCAGCCAGGUUACCUGAGUGCCUUAGUUUCCCUCCUUUACCUGGGUUCUCACAGAAGUCACAAGAAGCGUAUUUCUCCUUGCUCACUUCAUCUUCUGUGAGUGCUUGGGACCAAGAAACACAGACUUGGGGGGCUGGGGUGGGGCCAGAGCCUCCCCUAGUUGCUGAGACCCACACCUAUGGAGCUUCUGUGGGGCUGGCUCUGCCCCUACCUGGAGGGUUGGGAGGCUUCUCCAAGCCCCUGACUCUCUUAUCUGCAGUGGGAAUGUAAACGACAGGACUUUUCUUUUAGGGUGGUUAUGGGUUGCAAGAAAUAAGGUAUGUGCUCAGCUUACUGGCCACCAAUUGGCAUUAGUGACACCCACAGGCAGGAUCAUUUUGUUGAUCUUUGAUCCCCCCAGAGUAAGUAAGGGUCUCCUUUGUGGAAGCUCAGUGUUUGGCUGAAGGCAUUGAGUUAGAUUUGCAAGAGCAAUUUCUCCUCAGGGCCUGUUGGGGAAGGGGGAGGGUUCCUACUUCUGCUGCUGAGGAGGGAGGGGAGGAAGUUCCCUAGCCCUGGAGAGGCCCUUGUGCCCCUCUCCUGUCACGUUUUCCUCUUCCUCCGUUGUUCCUCAGGCUGUCACCAGUGAGGAACGGAAGCCUUCCCAUGCCCUGGCUCGGUGUCCCCAGACCUUUCCUGCUGUUCCCUUUCACCCAGCUGGGUGGGACUCUGCCCUGGAACUCUGCACUGUCCCCUCAUUUCUCUUUGGCUUGUGUAAGAGCAUUCUGGUUCUGUGGCUCAGGGUAAGGAUCCUGGAAACCCCAGGGGGCAUGAAGCCCAGUGCCCAGGGCAUAGACCAGGCUGUUGGCACUGCAGUCUGUCACGGCCACCUUGUGCCAACCGGGUGAACUGGUUAUCCUGGCACAAGUGUACAUUCUUUCGGCUGCCACCAGCUCCAUGGGCGCCUGAGAAGCUGCUGUGAUAGCCCGAGCAUGCCACAUGCUCAGCUGGAGCCUGGCAUAGUUAAUCAGCUACCAGGGCAUCCCCAAGGAUCCCCCUGGGAGGCGCAUUGCCUGGAACCCUGGGCUGCUUCCCUCCCUCCACUUCUCUUGGAAGGAGGAGGAGGAAGAGGAGGAGGACGAGAAGGGCAUCUGCCUCACAGGGGAUGGGAGGGAACACAUUUUCCUCUCUUCUCUCUCUGCUUAGUGAGAAAUGACUGCAGCCCCCUGCAGAUCUUCCCUGUGGGGGACUGCUUUUCACCAAAGGGUGGGAGAACAGAAGAAUAGAGAAUUCUGGUUUAGAAGAACAGUGGUUCUUUAGAGAACUCACCUUUUAAAGUGCAUUCUGUCUAAUAAUCAAAUCUUCAUCCAUGGAGUUAUUAAGUAAACUCCUGUGGGUUAUUAUUUUUAUUGUUUUUUUUUUUUUUUCCCUAAUGAUGCUGGUGCUGGAACCCAGGACCUUGCAUGUGCUAGGCAAGCACUGUAUCACCGAGCUGCACCCCUGGCCUGAGCUGUGGUUUUGUGAUGCACAUCUGUAAUCCAAGUGACUCAGGAGGCUUAGGAGGCCAGCCUGGGCAACUUGGUGAGACCUGGUCUCAAAAAUUAAACAGAGCUGGGAGGUCGCCUGGCAUGUGUAAGGCCCUGGGUUUGAUCCUCAGCACCACAUAAAAAUAAAUAAAUAAAAUAAAGGCAUUGUGUAAGAGAUAGAGAGAGAGAUAGAGAGAGAGAGAGAGCGCUGGGAGGUCGCUCAGUGACAGAAUACCCUGGGUUCCAUCCUCAGUACCGCUAGUGGCCACUCAUGCUGCGUGUGAGCUUCUGUGCUUGUGAUGAUUCAGAGGGCGGGUCUGGGUCUCUGAGGACCUUGAAGCCCAGGGCACAGACCCUAGUUGUCUGUCUGUGGGGAGCGGCAGGGAGGCCAGUACAUGGAGAUGCAUGGAGGGGACAACUGGGGAGAGUGGCAUUGGCAGGGGGGCAUGGGCAGUAGGCUUCAUGGUGGACCUGGGUCUUUAGGACGCAGCCCUAGCCACCUCCCUGCACCCUGCUGCUCCUCUCAGUCACCUGCUACCCAGCUGUACAGCUAGGGAUAGACAGGCCUCAACCAAGGCCCUAGGGUGGCCUUGAAGAACUUUAGCCCCUGAGAUUCUAGCAACCUCAAGAGGCCCCGCCCACCCCCUGCCCUGGCCAUCCCACCCCCCAUCCCACCCCGCCAGCAGCCCCAAAAUGAGUCUUUAUGAAGCACAGUGUUUGGGUGAUGGGUGAAUCCAGGUCCUGUGGCCUUGAAAGAGGCCACCCCCUGAGUCCAGAGGGAUUUGUUCCUUGUUACUGCCUGCCUGGUUGUCCACCUACUUGCAGAAUCCCCACAGGGGCUGCUCUGGCAAUGUCUUAUCUCCUUCCAAAGACGGAUGGGAGCAGACCAUAGGGCUUCUGAGCUGGCGAGUCCCUUAGAGAUGGCUUAGCUCUCAAGUCUUACUGAUGGUGAACUGAGGGCCACUGGUCACCAAAAAUUUACUCUUUGCAUCAGUCAGUGGGUGGGCUAAUAUUGAUUAAAAAAAAUUUUUUUUUAGUUGUAGAUGGACACAAUACUUUUAUUUUAUUUUUAAAUAUUUAUUUUAGUUUUAGUUGGAUACUUUUUUUAUUCUUUAAUUUUUUAUGUUAUUUUUUAAUGUUUAUUUUAUUUAUUUAUUUUAUGUGGUGCUGAGGAUGGGACCCAGUGCCUCACACAUGCUAGGCAAGCGCUCUACCACUGAGCCACAACCCCAGCCCUUGAUAUUCAAAAGCAUUACAAUUCUUAUUACAUGUAGAGCACAAUUUUUCAUAUCUUUGUAUAUAAAGUAUGUUCAUACCAAUUCAUGUCUUUAUACAUGUACUUUGUUUUUCUUUGCAUUACAAUUCUUAUUACACAUAUAUACCACAAUUUUUAAUAUCUCUUGUUUGUAUAUAAAGUAUGUUGACACCCAAUUCGUGUCUUCAUACAUGUACUUUGGUUGAUGAUGUCUAUCACAUUCCACCCUCCUUGCUAAUCCCCUGCCUCCUCCCCUACCCUCCCACCAUUCUGCCCUAUCUAGAGUUCAUCUGUUCCUCCCACGGUCCCCCUCCCUACCCCACUAUGAAUCAGCCUCCUCAUAUCAGAGAAAACAUUUGGCAUUUGUUUUUUUGGGAUUGGUUAACUUCACUUAGCAUUAUCUUCUCCAACACCAUCCAUUGACCUUCAGAUCCCAUGAUUUUAUUCUCUUUUUUUUUGAUUUUUAUAAUCAAUAAAAGAAUAGUCCAUGCAGAUGUUGUAGUGCAUGCUACUACAUCUACUACAUCUCAGUGACUUGAGUGGUUGAGGCAGGAAGAUGGCAAGUUCAAAGCCAUCCCAGGCAACUUAGUGAGACCCUGCCUUAAAAAAAAAAAAAAAAAGAAAGAACUGGGGAUGUAGCUUAGUGGUAGAGCACCCUGAGUUGUUGAGAGCCCAGUAACUAACACACACACACAGAGUUGGAGCUACUACAUCAGGGAUAAUGAUUAAAUAAUUGUGAUGCAUGUACAAUAAAGACAUAAAAGAGGGUGUCCUGGGUGAGAGGUAGAGGAGAGAGGUGGGUAUUGAGGGAUGGGUAGGAAUUUGUGAAUGGGGUCCAGAGGGACAGAGGGCAUUCCAGGCAUGUGCAGAAGUCAUUGCGAAAGAGUCUGCCUGGGUGAUUGGGGUGGCAGGUGGGAUCAGCCAGGCUGUGGAAGGUCUGAGUCCAGAGGGAUUUGUCAUUCUCAGAAGAAUAAUAAUAAAUUAUAAAAAUAAUCUCAGGAGGCAUGACUCUUCCUUCUGGUGGAUGCUGGAAUGUGGGAGCCAUGGGUAGGUGAGGAGGCCUGGGUGGGGAUGGCUUUCAGGAGGUGAGGCUCCAUCAGGGAAGGCUCUGGGGGAAAGGCAGGAGGCCACGGAGAAUAUACUCCUAAAAUAAAACAUUAUAGACAUCAUGGAGAAGGUCAUGAUGACAACCAGAAAUCGAUAUUGAAAGUGUCUUACCAUUCCCUCGUCUUGCUUCUGGGCCCCAGGGUCUCACUGCAGGGGAUCAUUGCUACCAGGGGACAUUUGGUUGUCACAUGGGGGAGGAGCUGCUGUCAACUGGUGGGAAGAGGCCAGUAGUAGGGUGGGGGACUGCCGAGCAUCCCAGAAUGCACAGUGCAGCACCCCCACACUGGAAUGACCUGGCCCUAAAUGCCAACAAUGCAGAGGUUGAGAAGCUCUGCUUCAGAGGCAGCCAGUAUCACGAAGUUAGUACACCGUGUUCUGAUCUUUUUUUAAAGCACACACAGAGAAAGAAUAUUUAAAACUAUAUUGUGUUGUUUUCUAAAAAUUCUAAAAAUUUGUAUCUGCUCUGAAUGCUGCAACUCGCUCUUUUUACUUGGCUUUAUGUUUCUGAGAAAGAGCAUGGUGUCACAUGUAGAUGUAACCUAUUUAACUUCUGUGGCUUAGCUAUUUUAUACAUGGGUCAUGUUUUAUUUCUUCAUUCUUCUGCUGAUAGGCACUGAGAUUAUUUUUUAUAAUUAUUAUUUUUUUGCUGUUCUGAGAAUGAAACCCAGGGCCUACCACAGAGCCACAGCCCCCACCCACCUAGAUUGUCUCUGACUGUUCCUGGUCAUUUUCGCUGGAAGCUGCCAGAAACAUUCUUGCACAUGCUCUUUGCGCUGUGUGUGGAAUUCCUGGGAUGUGGGGACAUACCUCUGUGGCUUGCAAGACCUCUCUUGUGCCCUUAGCAAGACUUGAGGUGGUCUCUCAUUAAGUCUUUCCUGUGUUUUUCCCCAAAGUACUGGGGAUUGGACCCAGUGCUUUACUCACACUAGGCAAGUGCUCUACCACUGAGCCACACCCUCAGCACUUUUUUUCUUUUUAAAUGUUUUUUUGAGACAGUCUUUCUAAGUUGCUGAGGCUGGCCUCAAACUUGCGAUCCUCCUGCCUUAGCCUCUUGGGUAGCUGGGAUUAUAAAUGUGCACACAUUACAAUUGUUUUAAUUUCCUUUUACUUGAUUUCUAGUGAGGAUGAGCAUUUCUCCUCAUGUAUGUUGGGCACUCGAGUUUUUCUGGGGCCUCUGAGAGCCCUCAUCCCAGAGGGUCCAGGUGGCAUCCAGUUCUGGUGUCUCUUCCUUUGAGGAAGCUUCAGAGUCACGCAUCUGCUCCUCAGCACCCAUGCACACCUCUGCAGCUGCCAGUCUGGCUGCCCUCCCGACAGGGCACGACACAGUUGAUUAGGUUUCGGCUUUUUAUCUUGUUUUAUGAGACUGCAGCGUGGUAACCUUGGCUGGGCUGGAUGUUCCCAAGCCUCCCAGCGUGUUCCCAGAGGAUAACUUUGUCUCUGAGUUCUGGGGGCUCCCGGGUCCUGGCAUUCUCUGGGCGGUGCUGGGCGGGUCUCCUGCUGACGCCGGCUCUGUCCCUGCAGGCAGACCUCUGCGUUAUGACCUGGCUGCUGGGCUACAUGAACCCCUGGGAUUCCAGCCUUGUGGCGGCCGCCCUCACCAUUGCUUUCAAUCCUCUCUUCUGGAAUGUGGUAAGUACCUUGUGCCUGACCCCGUCCAGCAGGGUGACCUCGCACGGAGAGGAUCACUGUUGUCCAGGCAGAUGGGUGACUGGAUAGCUCUGUUAUGCCCUUCUCUACCAAUGGUCAGCACCCCGUGAAGGUACACUGGGAAGCUCCUUGCCUUGCAGGCCCAAGCAGCAACUCAGCCGCCAGGCCUGCCCUGGGCUGACGUCAGGGUGGCCGAGGGCAGCAGGACUGGCCCUCUUAGCACCACAGGCCCUGCAGCAGAGAGCUGCCUGGCGGUAGGACUUCACGUGUACCCCCCCUUUCCUUAGUAGCCGUCAUAUUCAGGGAGUCGAUUGCUGGGGCUGCAGGGCUCCCUUCCCUCUCUGCCUUGUCCCACUAUCAAGCCAUUUUCUUGUGAAUCCCCCUCCUCCAGGUGGGCUCCAUAAACAUUGCUGUUCCCACAUGUGGCUUCCUGUGAAGUAGCUUGCACGGCUGGGGUGGAGGUGUGGGUGGCAAGGACAAGCUGACCGGGACUGAAAUCAGAAGACAGAGCUGGAUGUACCCUAUUCAUUUGUGGGCACCAGGGGACACAUCCAGAGGCCUGAGGGCUCUGUGGCAGGGCCAGGGUGUGUGGGCAGUGGGUUCUGGGCCCGUGGAGCAAGGUGUGGGUGCGGCAGGCCAUUGGCUCCUGCAGUGUCCCCACCAAGAUUGCAGAUUAAGCUUUUGGGGUGUGUGGCCCUCUCUCCUGUGGCCAUCUCUGGAGGGCUGUCCUGCCCCAUAUUGCCGAGCUGGUGGUCCUGGGGCUCAGCCAGUGCUCGGCCCUCUGAGGCAGAGCUGUGGACGCCCUGUGAUCACCCUUGAGGCUAAUCUACAGAAGGCCAAGAUCCGCGUCAGCAACACACUGUUCCCAGUUGUUUUCAUUUAAGGUGAGCCCUUGGUCCCAGGGCAGAGCACGACAUGUUUUGCAUCUGGUUUAUGACUUGGGCCUUUUCUCCAUCUGGGGAGAGUGGCAGUGUGUGGGGGCAGGGCCAGUCAUCUUAGAGUGGCCACAUUCUGAAUGUGCUGUCCCUGUUGUCCUGAACACACUGGCCCUGCUUCAGGAGAGGGUUUCAGAGAGGGUGGUCUAGAGGUGGGACCAAGGCCAGCGAGAAGAAUGACAUCUCCCCUUCCUUUUGAGAAGCCUUGGUUUCCGAGUGUGUGGCGGAUGUGCCAGAGUUGGUCCUAAUCUCCGGAUGUGGCCUCCCCAGCAAGGGUGGGUGUCUGUGGGGCCUGGCGCCUUAGCCUCGUCCCUGCUGUCCCUCACCCCCUGUGCUCGCUCUCCACCUGUGCACGCAUGACCAGAGAGGGUAAAGAUUAGGCUUCCGGCCACUAGAACUGUGCGAGAAGACCCUUCUGUCGUUUUUUAGCCACUGUGUUUGUGUCCAUCUGUUAUAGCAGGUACAGGAAAUGAAUGCAGGGUCAACAGGCUAUUGAUCCCACCUAGAAGAUAUCGUGGCCCUAAGUAACUGGGGUGUGUGGGUGUAGGUGUGGGUGGGUGUGUGCAUGCUCCUUCCUGUCCACAGCCUCUCCCAGGAGAAGACUGCUGGGCUUCAACAGCUGCCCGGCCUCCCUGUCCUCUGGCUCCUACAGGCCUGGCUGACCAGCAGUUGUUUGAGUGUGUGCUGGUCUCCUCACCCUGGGGACUUGGGCAGCCAAAUGUCCAGUGGGUCUUGGGGUGUACUUGGCCAUUUUCUGCUGGCCCUUCCAACUGUGUGCUCUUUUGCACACUUCAUUCUGAAGCUGUGUCAUGGCCCCCAGGGACAUCCAACGUAGCAAGGGGUCAAGGUGCAGUAAGAUUUGAGGCAGUUUCUUGUCUGUGUGUUUGUCAUAGGUGGAUUUUUUCCCCCCACUUUGGUCAUACGUUUUUGAUUUGCCUCAUUUUUUUGAAAAAAUUAUUCACUGGAACAGAUUGUGGUCAUUAGUGGUAGAAAGAACAAACUCUUCAGAGUUGUUUCAGAAUGAGAAAGCGACAUAAUGUUUACGGUUCAGUGGGCUGCUCCCCUGGGAGAGCCAUGGAAUGAAAUCUGGAGGCAAGAGGAGCUGGGAUGAGCAGGGCCUGAUGGCGCAUGCCUGUGAUCCCAGCAGCUCAGGAGGCUGAGGCAGGAGGAUUGCAAGUUCAAAGCCAGCCUCAGCAACUUAGCGGGGCCCUAAGCAACUCAGUGAGACCCUGUCUCUAAAUGAAAAAAAAAAAGUCUGGGGAUAUGCUCAGUGGUUAAGUACCCCUGGGUUCAAUCUCUGGUACAAAAAAAAAAAAAAAACCAAACCAAACCAAACCAAAAAAGCACUAAGAGGAGCUGGGGUGGGGCUGGAGCCUGUCUCUGUGAUGAGGUGGUGAUUGAAAAUCCACCUUGAGAAAUAAAGGAGUCUGGCUGUGAAAGCACUGGAAGAGCUAUUUGUUUAUUAUGUGGUGCAGGAUGGAACCCAGGGCCCAUGCAUUUUAGGUGUGCACUACCACUGAGCUUCCAGCCUAAAUCAGUUACUAAAUUCUAAUGAUGGCCGAUGUCCAGAGGCCUUGUCACAGACAGGCAUCCCACUUGGUGCAUUUCAUGUGGGAUCUCUGGACUUUUACAGCACUGCUGUUAUAUCCCCUUUGAAGGGUGGGGUUUGAGGAGGAUGUUAGUCAAUUAAAAAAAAAAAAACUUUUGUCGUUUAUAGAUGGACACAAUGCUUUUAUAUUAUUUUAUUUUUAUGUGGUGCUAAGGAUUGAUCCCAGUGCCUCACACGUGUUAGGCAAGCACUCUGCCCCUGAGCCCCAGCCCCAGCCCCUUAGUCCAUUUUUUUUGUUGCUAUAACAAAAUAUCUUGAGGCUGGGUACUUUAUAAGGGGGUUUAUUUGGCUCACAAUUCUGGUGACUGGAGGGUUCAAAACAGCAUGGUGUCAGCAUCCUGUUGAGUGCCUCCUGGCCGCAGAAGGGGAAAGAGCUCAGUGCUGAAGGAGCCAAGCUGAGAAGUGGCCUUACUUUUUACAGCCUGUUCUUCAGAGAACUAACUUGAUCCUGCGAGAACUAUAUCGGUCUCUUUUCAGGGCAUUCCCCAAUGACCUGGGGACCUGCCUUCCAUUAGACGCCACCUUACAAAGGCUCCUCACUUCCCAACACAGCCACACUGAGGACCAAGCUUCUAGCCCAUUAACCUUCGGGGAACAAAAUCCAGUCAUAGUCAAACCAUAGUACAGAGGUUCAUUUGUUCUUCAGAUAUUUCUUGAGGGCCAGGCACUGUCCCAGGCUUUGGGGUGCACCUUCCUGACCCUUAUACAGUGGCAUUCUGUAUAAGAAUAUAUAAUACACAUACAUCCCUGCUACUUGGGGACAUAGCAGGCUAGGGACAGAAGGAUAGGAGGGGUGGUCAGGGAAGGCCUCUUCAAAGGGAUGACUUUUAACCUGAAACUGGACUUCCACGGGAGGGUCCCCCCAGGUGCCUGAGGAAGAGCUUUCUGGUCAGAGGAGACAGCAAUGCAAACUCGGAGGGGGGGCAAGAGCAUCCACACCCACUGGCCUCAGAGGGAGGGUGGAGGGCAGGUUGGAGAGGUGGCAGUAGGCUGCGGGGAGGCUCUGGGGUGGACUUGAGCUGAGAGCCACACUCAGCAGCAGGACCUCUGUGGGGUUUUCAGGGGCGCUGGAGUGGAGCUGGGGCUGGACCUGCAGUUGAGGCCCAGGUGCUGGGGACCCAGGAGUCCUGAUCUAGGCCACUGCCUGGCUCUCUGGGGCUGUGGCUGGUGGAAGUGUUUCCGCAGCCUUGGGCAGGGUGGGCUGCCCUCUUCAGCUGCAGCACCCUGACACGGGCAAUCUCUCACCCGUGCCCAGUGCCAGUCCUGUUCUGUCCCCACCAGGCCUCUCCUUGUACCCUCCUCACUGCACCACGGCCAGGCUGUGUCCUCUGCUCUCUUACCCCCUUCAGAGGGCUAUUGCUGCACCAAAGGGGGCUUUUCAGCCUGUCUUUGGCUGAGUCUUUGGGGACAGUUUCUCACGUGGCCUUGCUGUCCUUAACAUCAGGCUCUCUGGGUCCCUUGCUACCUCCUGGCUCUCUUCUGCUCCUGUGUCCUUUUCUUCUUUUGCCUGAUGGCUCCAUGCUGGGCAGUUACUCGCUGAGGCCCCACUGUGCGCCAGGCCUUGUGUGUCCUUGGCUGGCUUCCCAGGACAGCCAGCAGUCUCUCCUCCCUGGGCACAAAGACACACGGAGUGUAAGCUGUGGCGAGGGUGGGAACGAAGGCCAGGGUGCUGCCGAGGGGCCAGGGGAACUUCUCCUUCUGUUGCCUGGUCUGUCACCCAGAAUCUGCUCCCAGACCCAGGAGCCCAGGCCCAGGCUCUGUGGCUGCGUCUGGGAUUCUCCAGGCCCCACAGGAACCUUGGCCAAGAACCCCCUGAUAUGCUGUCCUUUCUGUCUCCACAAAUGCCACCUCUCUGGGUGCCAGGGGGAUGCCUCGACUCCCUCCUCCCCCCGUCCCCUCAGUCUGCCCUCACAGACUCCACCUAUCAAGAGAUGCCACCACCUGCUUCAGGCCCUGCACCCAUCAGCCAGGUCUGUGCACCCUCCAGCCCAUCUCCCUCUAGUCACCCCCAAGUGUCCAACGCUCAAAGGCCCCCUGCCUCCCAGGAGGAGGGGUCAGUUCUUUGCCUGGCCAGGGAAGCCCCUCAGCCCUUACCUGCUCCCUCAGUCAUGCUGGGUCCCAGCCUCCUCCUGGGUGACCUGUCCUUUCUCAUCCAGGGCUCCUUGGAGACCUGUGGUAACCUUUGUCAGGUGUCCUUUCUCCACCUUGCCCUCUGGGUCAGGGUCUACAUCAUGCACUGUAGGAUACUCAGCAGUGUGCCUGGUUUCUGUCCACCAGGGGUCAGUAGCACUGCCUCCAGACAUCACCAGGUCUCCUCCCAGGGCACAGUGGCUCAGGUGAUCUGAGUGCCCACCAUGUACGUCCCAUGGCACAGCUGCCAUGCCUGGUGCCACAGUUUACUCCUUACCAACCCCAAGAGUGUCCCAAAGUUCCUGCUCUACUUCGUGUCCCCCUUUGUGUGUGCUGUGCCCUGGGUAGCAACUGCUGCCUGACCUUUUGUAUCAGGGAGGGCCCUGCACUGCCUAUCCUUGGCACCCAGUGCCCAGUACCGUGCCUGGCACAAACAGUGCUCAGGCAGUGUUACUGGCUUCACGAACCUAUCUUGGGCUCCUAACCAGGGGAGGGAGGGAGUCAAGGCAUUCCUCUGGCAUCCUGUGCCAAGGUCCACCUCCAUUUGGGACAUUUGCCUCUGCACCCCCUGGCUUUGCGAAACAGUUGGGAUUGCAGGGAAGGGAAGCACAGCAGUGGCUUGUAAUAGGCACAGUCUGGCACCCAGGAGAGUAAGCCAGGACGGCCCUGCCAGGCCAGGUCCCGAGCUCCUCCCGGGGUCAGAACCCCUGGGAGCUAGCGCCUGGGGUCUGAGUAGUGUUCUUGGGCUCCUGAUGUUUGUGAGAGUAAGUUGCACACGUCUUGGUGUCUUCACCACCAGAGGUUUGCUUACCACAAACGUCCAACCAGUGGAGACGGCACGUCUGGCCACCAUGGCGAACUGAGAUGGAGGGUUGGAGGGGGCAGCGCUGGGUGUUCUUUACCUCUAUAUUAGGACCCCCAGGGAGGGGUAGUGGUGCCGAUUAAGACUUCUACCUGGGCCACAGGUGUGGAGAGGACCGAGAGGCUCCCCCCACUGUGGAACGUCCUCUUAGAGAGCUUUGCUUGUGUCCCUCCAUGCCUGCGUGGCUCCCUCCUGGCAGGACCAGCCCUGCCUCAGGGUCAGCCUGCAGCCCCCACCUCGAAGCUCCCUCUGUCCCAACAUGCCUUGGGCCUUUCUCUGAGGGGUGUGGAGGCUUCAGGUGCUCACAGGGGUGUUGGCUGCCGUGGGUAUGUAUCCCAGUCAUGGCCCUGCAGGUGAGGCCCUGUGGGGGUGGCAGGCCCUGUGCCUGCUCUAGGAUGGCCAACCUGCCCGCUGGCCAGAGGUACUCCUGAGUGCAGCUCAAGAAUCCUUGCAUCCCCAGAGCCCUGACAGUUGGGCCAAUCAGGACCCAAGGUCACACUUGACGGAGAGCUAGUUUGGGAAGAGGUGGCCUUUUCCUCCAAGAAGUUGCAGAGCUUGCUCUGCUGGGCUGAUGAACAGGGUCUCCACAGUGGGAUGUCUGGCCCCUGGUUCCUGUGGUCCUGAGCAGGUGGCAGGGGCUUUGGGGGAGCUUUGGGGUGGCUGGGCGGCAGGUGGCGUCGUGGGCAAGGGGAGGUAUGCUUUCCCUGGUUCCCAGGAGUGGGGAAGAAGUGACAGUGAGGUAAGAGGAGGUGACAUCAGGGAAAGGGUGACAGCAAGAAGGAGGUGACAACGAUGGAAGAGGAGGUCACAGUGAUAGAAGAGACGGUGACAGCAGGGACAAGGAGGUGGGGUGUGGUCCUGGGCCGUGUCCCUGUCUGCCCUCGCCCUGCCUUUCCCCCACCCCACCUCCACCUUCAUUGUGCCUUUGCUGCUGCCGCCUGCAUUUAUGACCCCAGACGCCAGCCUGCAGUCUGUGGGUGUCAGCCCAAGACCCCUUGUUGUUCACAUCCCCUCCUGGCCUUGCUGUCUCCAUUUGUAAAGCGAGACUCUCCAGCUUUGAAACACUGUGAUCCCCUUCUUUACUGAGGCCCACCCAGGCUGGGGUACCCUGUGCUGGGAUGUUACUCUACCCUCCUGGAACUGGUAAGAUUGGACAUCCAAAGUGGAACAGGAAAGUCAGGAUUUGUUUGGAGCUUACUGGAGGAGUUCAGGAGAGGUUGUAUCCAGGUCCUAAGUUGGGGGCGAGGGACAUGGGGUUUGUAGAGGGGAUGGUGCUUCUUGGCCUUGGAUUAAGUUGACCCAGGCUUUCUAGAGGAGAGAAGGGUAGAUAAGAGUCCAGGAAACAACAGAAGGGGAAUGUGUGAGGUUGGCAGGUGGGCAGCAGGCCCUGAGACCCCUGAAGGAAGACACUGAAUGCUUGUCUGCAAACGGGUUGUGUGCCUGAGACUGGAGGUGGUGGUGGUGGUGCUGGGUGUGUGUGUGCACCGCGCACAUGUAUGAGUGUGUCUCACUCAGAUGGGCAGUGGAAUUUGGAGGGGGCGUGAACCAGACUGUCAGGAUCCUUGCUCCCAUCUGGCUUGGAAACCUGGCUCCUGGGCAUGGCCAUUACCACUGGGCUCGGAUCCUGUGUUUCGGGAAGAUGUGCUCCCGGGCCAGGGCACGUCUUGCUGGCUGGGGUGGCCUGCAGCAGUGGGAAGAUUUUUCCCUGAGUGUGGCCAGCUGGCUCGCUGAGCUUGAGAACUUGGCUCUGGGAACACUAGUUAGCCAGCCAUUUAUCCCUUCACACUGAUGUCACCUAAGGCACUGAGGCAUGCCCAAAUGUCCUUGAUCCCUACCUGAAUCUCACUCCCUGCUGAAUUGUUCCAGAACUAAUGGCAGAUCUAGCAUCAACCUCAAUUGCUGAGGACUGGCCACUCUUCGUCAGAAGAGUCCCAGCCUUGCCCCCUAACCCUUAAUGUUGGUUCAAGUGUGAGAUAUCCAGGGUAUAUGAGUGUGUGAUCUUUUUUGAGCCAGGUGCAAACAUGUGAUUUUACGUGCAAACAGCCCUGCCCACCACCCCGCAGGCCAUAUCUCCUCUGAAUGGAGAGCCACAAGGGUGCCGGGAGCCAGGGCUAACUUUAGAACUGCAGUGUCCGAGCAACGUGGUGGUAAUGUGGUGAUAAUGUGGUGAUGUGUACAGACGAGGUGUCUCGAACUGGGUCAGCUCACAGCCUUUGCCAGGAUGGCUCGGGAAUGACAUGGUAGAAAAACAGAAGGAAAUGAAGUGGGAGAGAGGGAGGCGGGGAACACACUCCCCACCAUCUGGGGCUGACCCACUGAGCUGGGUGUCCUCCGUCAGCUCCUCCCUUCCCCCAGGUCCCAGACCUGCAGUUUGAGAGUUUUCUUAGGAAAUUUCUUGCUGGGUGGGUGGGGGUGGGGUCCAUCUUUCCUCUAGGAUGUUUUUUGGUUCUGGCAUUACAGGGGUGUUGCACACCUUAGCGUGGGUAGAAUGGGUGUCACCAGGAGGCAGUGGACAGGGCACUUCACUGUGGGAUUUAGUGUUGAUCACUUCGGGUUCUUGUUACACGGGGGCGGGGUGGGGGGGAGGAUGGGGGGCAGGGAAUUGGGCAGAAUUUUAUGACUUUCUCCUGUGAUUUCCAGCAGAUCUGGCCCCUCAACUUGAAUCUUUUGUUUUUGGGGGCAGAGGGAGUUGCUGGGGAUAGAACCCAGGAUCACACUUGCUAGGCAAGUGCUCUACCACUGAGCCACGCCCCCCAACCCUUUGUAGAUUUUGGCUGCCUUCAGGUUAGGUGGCAUGGUUUGAGGUGCACUCAUGACCUGGACCCCUCCCAUAGGCACACCCCUGUGUCAUCUUGCAGAGCCCUGGCCACGUGAUUCCCUGCCAUCCUACAGGCCUGGUCUCCUCUCAUUCCUCUGUGCCUUUGCACGUUCUGUUCCUACUUCCUAAAAGACCAACCCCCCACUUCCCCACUUGGCUGCCUCUGCCCUUCUUUAGCCAGGCUUCCCUGAGCCUUGACUCAAAGCAAUGCGGCUCUGCCUUUGUGUCUUUGUCCCCUGCAGUGAUGAGCUGGGGAACUGUUAAUAGCAAUGGUCUGUUCCAGUCUGAGCCAUAGAUGGAUGCCUCGGGCCUCGCCCAGUGUUGGAGGGGGUGGAUGGUUGAAGGGUACUCCCUCCUGGAAGGUGAGCCCAAGGUGGCCCUGGGGAGUGAUAGAGCUGAGCAUAGUCGCUCCCAACUCUGCUGGGAGCACAUGGAUCACAGUUAGUCCUCUCCCAUUUUCUUGUGCCUUCUUUCUCUAUCUUUAAAAGGAGCUAGUAAGUCCUCUGUGGACUUCAUGAGUACACUGGCAGGAACCAAGGAGAUGCAGCCAGAAUCAUCUUAGGAGUCAGGGAUCCUGGCUGGUUUUUAUUUGUUUGUUUGUUUGUUGUUGUUGUUUUUGCUACCAGGGAUUGAACCUAGGGGCACUUAACCACUGAGCCACAUUCCCAACACUUUUUUUAAAAAUAUUUUUUAAAGUUGUUGAUGCACCUUUAUUUUUAUUUAUUCGUAUGUGGUGCCGAGAAUCGAAACCAGCACCUCACGCAUGCCAGGCAAGUGCGCUAUUGCUGAGCUGCAACACCACCAACGCUGUUUUUUUUUUAAAAAUUAUUUUAGUUAUAGGCCGUCACAAUAGCUUUAUUUUAUGUGGUGCUGAGGAUUGAUCCCAGUGCCUCACCCGUGCUAGACGUGUGCUCUAUCUUUGAGCUAUAAACCCAGCCCCCCAACCCUUUAAUAUUUUAUUUAGAGUCAGGGUCUUCCUGAGUUGCUUAUGGCCUUGCUAAGUUGCUGAGGCUGGCUUUGAACUUGGGAUCCUCCUGCCUCAGCCUCCCGAGGUGCUGGGAUUGCAGAUGAGCCGCCACACCUGGCUAUGGCUGUGUUUUUUGCUUUGUUCCACUCUUGGGUCUUCUUUUUGUUGAUACAUGCACAUCUAUGGGGUGAUACAUGAUAAUUAUGCACAUCUAUUGGGGUGUAGUGUGGUAAUUCGGUAGACAGUGCAUACUGAUCGAAUCAGUGUAGUGAAUGCUCCCUUCUCCUUAAACACUGGCCAUUUCUUUGGGUUGGAAUCUUUCCAGUUCUUCUCUCUAGUUACUUAUAAAUUGUGUAAUAAACUGUGUAAUCUGUAGUCACCUUCCUGUGCUGUAGAACCCUUGACCUUUUUGAGGAACCACAUCUUCCACCAUGGUUGUAUCAGUUUGCAGUCCUACUACCUCGGAUCUUCUUUUGGGACCAAUCAAGAGUUUGUGGAGCUGGGUGCAGUGGCUCACUCCUGUAAUCCCAGCAGCUCCGGAGGCUGAGGCAGGAAGAGCACAAGUUCAAAGCCAGCCUCGGCAAUUUAGUGAGACCCUGUCUGAAAAUAAUAUAUCCCAGGAAAUUUCCAAGGUGUUGGUUGUCUCACUUCACUGCUGACUUAUGCUGUGACUUGGGACAAGUCACCACACUUCUCUGGAGUCAGCCAGGAGGGGACUUGGAGACUAGAACUGAUGCCAUGUGUGUGUUCAUGGCCACGCAAUGGGACUGCACAGUGACUGGCUGCUGUCGGGCUCUCCGGUGUCAUUGACUGCUGCCUCCAGGGUUCAUCGGUUGCCCAGGUGGCAACCCUGUCCCUGCCCCCUUGUCCCUGACUGCCUGCUCUUUUCAUUCCCUGCCAGGCUGGCAUGAUGAGACUCAGCUGGGAGGGGCAGGGCCUCCUCAGGACUGGAGCCCCUGAGGCCCCAGUUGCAUUCCAGGGAAGGGUCCCUUGUGUUAUUAUCUGUGGCUGUGACCAGAUAGCUGAGAUUGGGGAGUUAAGGGUUCAUGGUCUGGAGAUGGGAAGUCCACCAGCAGGCGCCUGCAGCUGCUCAGUAUCACGGUCACUUGCUGCUUGACUCACGGUGGGAUGUGGAAGGGCAGGUGACCUCGUGGGGAAGAGGCGAAACCUGAGGGGUCACCUUGCUUUAUACCAACCCAGUCUCGUGGUAGCUCAUCCUCCUGUGAGAUGCAGCAAUCGCACUCCCAUGAAAUAUCAUUAACUUUCUACUAAUUAGAUAAGAAACCUAACCCUCCCCCGAGGCACCACCUCCCAACACUGCCCCAUUGAAGAAUUUACCCUCAACACAGUGUGGCACUGUGUGAUGCUGCUAGACCUUGAGACAAUUCCAAUAGUUUGUUCAAAAGAGGGGACCUUGGCACGAUGCUGGGUGCCUGGGCCUGUUGUGGAGCCUGUGUGACCUACAGGCUGGGGGUGUGUCUGGGCAGUGGGCAGAGGCCUCAGGAGGAGCUGGAGUCAGCUUCCAGCCUAGCUCUAAGUAUGUGGGGAGAAUCCAGGCCCUUGAUGGAAAAGGGAAAUCCGGAGAGGCCUGGGGAUUGGAGCAGAGGGUGGUAGGUGGAGUCUGCAAAAAUUCUCCAUCUGCCGUUUUCAAAAUCAGGUGCCUGUUGCUGGCCCAGCCCUCUGAGCAGGUGUGAGGCUCCACGGGUGACUCAGAGGCAGCCACAGGGCCAUCCUACCUGGAAGGACUUUUGAAAGGGACCCCAGGUGGAGCCCUCCUGCAUUCUGGGGAGGCAGCCCCACUGUGUGCAGUGCAGAGGGCUAUGGCUGGAGACCCCACAGCAUAUGGCCCUCACCUUCCCUGAAACAUCAUAUCCUCCAAGUCUCCGCCUUUGCGGCUGAUGUUACUGUCCUGGUCUGAAUGGCAGGAACAGCAAGGUGCACACGCCUCUUUGGAGGUCCUGGGGUGGGAGAUGGAAGCGACGUGGUAAUGGGUGGAGGUGCCUGAGUAGCUGUGUUCCCAGGGCGAGCCGCUGCCUGUGGGGGUCACAUGGGGACAGGUCUACCCACCUUGGCAUCUCUGUGGGGACCAGGUGAGCAGUUAGGCACUGGCCAGAUGUUCCUGAAGGAUUUCUGUGCCCAUGGCCUUGAUUCCUUUGCUGUGUGUAAUUUGUUCUGCAUCACCUUGCUGUGAAUUUGGGCCAGUUCUGUUGGCCUGGUCUGCUUGUAGUUUCCUGGGUUAAGAAAAAAAAAAAAGGUAAUUGAGCUAAAUUAUCUCUCAAUAUCCUUCCAAUUUUAAACAUUUGGAUCCCCAUCCAUCCAAAGAAGAUGGGAAAGGGCAUGGACACAGAUGGAGGCAGGGGUGGAGAUUCCAUUGUAGCAGAUGGAGAAGCAGCUUGAAGUCCCCGUGUUAGUCCAGCUGCACCCCGUCUUUGCCAGUAGUGGGCAAGUGGCCCCUCUCUCCAGUGCCCAGUGAAAAGUCAGCUGCAGCUAGCUACACAGCCAGCUCCACUUCUGGAGCCCUAGGAUGGGUAUUAGGUGACAUUUUCUCCUGAUGGUGCCUCCUGGUCCCCUCCCACUCCCCUGGUUCCAAGGUGUCUUAUCUGUCCAUCCUGAGUGCCGAGUCUGAGCCAGUGAGGAAUGUUUGCAGAACCUGCAAUCAAGACCCACGCAGAAGAGCAUGUGUCAGCCAGGCUUUACAAACUCUGGCCCAGGGCUCAGGUCUCAGGCCCUGCGCAGGUUGUGUGCCAGGGAUUCCCCUGUCCAGGAACCUGUGCCCUUCAGGGAAGCUGGGGAGAGUGCCCAGCGCCUGGGCAGAGCUGGUCCUGCUCUGAGGGCUGUGCUCGUGGGAGAGGGGCUUGCAGUGAGAGCAGUGACAAUACCUGGGCCCAGGGACGCUUCCCUGAUGGGUGGGGCCUGAGCCCAGGUGUGUGUGGCACAGACCUGGCCACGCAUGACCUCAAGCAGCGUCUGUUCCCUGCUCUCCGUGUCCUUACCUCCAGAGACUCACGUUCUGAAAGAGCAGGACCAGCUUCUCCAGCCUCCUGGUGCAGCCCUGGUGAGGCGCUCAGAAUGGGAAGCGUGGGCCCAACCCCAGCCCCCCGUAGGCCACCGACAGCCUCGGCUUCUUCCUCUCCCGCCCACCCUAGCCACGGACAGUACUGGUAUUGGGUUGGCACCAGGCGAAUGAGGUGUGGAAGGGGUCCUGUGACUCACUGUUAAUUGGGUUGAUUUCUGGUGUUUGAGUGUGCGUGUGUGUGUGUGUGUGUGUAGUGCUGGGGAUGGAACCCAGGGCCUGGCGUCCUAGGCCAUAGCUGUACCACUGAGCCACAUCCCAGCCACUGCCAGAGAGGUUUCAGUCCCUUUCCUGGCCUUCCCUCUGUGCUCCUUCCUGCGAUCUCCUGGCACUUCCUCCUGAUACCUCCCCUCUCAUUUUGGAGGCGGUCCCCUUGGGGGAUGGAGCCAAAGUGAUAUCUGUUAUUUCCCCAGUGGGGGUGGCCUGCUGGCUCUGGGAGCCCCGUGAGAGAGGCGAGGGCUCUGAGGUAAGAGGCAGCACUCGCCCUGGUGGGGUCUGGAGCCCCCUAACCCACUCUCCACUGCAGAGGUGGAGGGGACCUUGACUGAUGGCAGGUGGGAGCCCCGCGGUGGGGCUCUGUCUGGAGGAUCCCAAGUCAGUGCCCCUCGGGCUGAGGUCCCGCCUGGUGCCCACCCUGUGUCUCCCCUGUUGCUCCCUCGCCAGGCUGUCCUGGUGCAGGGCAUUCAGGACAGGGGUCAUCACUGGCACCCACGGGGGCUCCCCUUCCAUAGGACCGGAAGACGUGGGGGAAAUGAGGACAGGAGUGACAAUGACAGGUGUCCUGCACAGGUUCCUCCACUUCCUGUCAGACAGGUGGGGACUUUGGGCUUGGCCAUAAGUGAGGCGGCUGAAGGCCAAGGGGGUCUCCUGAGGGGCUGGGGUGGGGGCAGGGGCUGGGGAGGGACUGGCUUGAGUCAGGGUCUGUUCCUUUGUUCUCAGAUGUCCCUUCCUCACUAGCCUCUGAGGGUGAGAUAAGGGAUUUGAGCCUAUAGUGGAGGGGCAGAGCAGCUUGUGAUAGGGACAGGGGCAGUGCUUUUUCUGUAAUGACAGUUGCUGCUGUUGUGAAUGUCAUAAUCAUAAGUGCCACCAAUACCAUUGCUGCCACUGCUGCUGUUUUGGCUGGCCCUUGAGGGGUCAACCCCUGAUUUUGCAGAAGCAGCCACUGAGGAUCAGAGAGGUUCCUUGACUUGCCUGGGUCACACAGCUGUGAGCCCAGAGAUGGCCCUGCCAGUUGGGCUCCUGCUCUUGUGUUCCCCCUCCCACCUGCCUCUUGCACACACCCACACACCUGAGUGCACACACACCCCUGCACCCCUGGGGCACAGUCAAGUCAAAUUGGGCAAAGACGGAAACAUGGCUCCAAGUGGCAGCAUGGCCUGACCCAGAUGGAGCCGAACACUGGGGCCCCUGAGGGCGGGAAGAGGAGUACCCGUUGCCAAUCGAGCCCUGUUGUCCUCUCCCCGCUGGAGCCUGGGGGCCGCACGUGCCUGGCUCUGACUUCUCAGCAGCUUGACUUCCAGGCUCGUGAGCCUCGCCUGUGUCAAUAUUUUGACUGCACUUGGGACUUCCUGUAGGCAGGGCUACAUGUGGAGCAGCCACGUGAGGCUGCGCGUGGAGGUGCCUCUGUGUCCUCCAGCCCAACUCCUGCCCUUACCGUCCUCAGGAUCCUGGCAGAGCGGUGUCCCCACAUCUCAUCUGGCCUCUGAGCACCCCAUCUGUCCUGCCACCACCACCUCUUAGUGGAGGGACCUGGAUGAGAUGCUUGGCCUCUUGGAGCCUUGGUUUUCUCAUCUGUACAAUAGGCCCCGUGGCAGUUGCCUGGCAGGUUGUUGCCGUGGGCAGAUGGUAAAGAGAACCUUGCUGGAGCCUGCGCAGCAGCCAUCACGUCGGGCUCUUUUCCCUUGUCACCUCACCGUCUGCUUCCCGAGGCUGCCUCAGGCUGCACCUGUGGGGUGGACCUGUGGUCUUGCUCUCCUGUGCAGGGCCCUCCCACCUGCUCGGGACCUGCCUGCCUUGAUUCUGGCUAAUAGUGACCGCGGGGCAAUGCAGGGUGCUGAACCCAAGCUCCGUGCCUCCGUUUCCUCACUUGUGAAACAGGUUAGCCAUAGCUCCCCCUGUCGCAGCUGUGGCGAGGGUCAGUGAAAUACCCCGUGGGCAGCAGCACGCAGAGUCCAGGCUCGGCAAGGGUGAAGUGCGAGUGGCUGUUGUCCUCGGGUCCCGUCCCACUGGUGCCCAGUGAUGUUUGGUGACCCGGGGUACACAUGGGUCCUGGCCAUUGCGCAAGGUUUCCGGGGUUCCAGGUACCAAUGGGAUUUGCCUGUAGGGUUCAGGGGAGGGGGGAGGUGGGAAGGGCUGUGGAGGGGAGAUAAAGGGCAGAAGAGGGCACCAACAGGGUGUCCUGGCCUUCCCUGGUUGUGUGGCACACUGUCCCCUACAUGUACCAGGCUGGGAUUCAGGGCACAGGGAGAUAAGCAGCCAAAGGGUAGUUAAGGGCAGUGCCUGGGAAGGGUGGGGUAGUCAGAGUUGGAGAGUUGGACAGACCAUUCCUGUUGCUGGGGUGGCCUGGAGCCUUGGACAGGUGGACCUUUUUUAUUUCCUAAUUCAUUUAUUGGUUCUAAUCAUUUAUACAUGACAGCAGAAUUCUCUUCAAUUCAUUGUACACAAACAGAGCACAAUUUUUGACUUCUCUGGUCAUAUCCAAAGUAGGGUCCCACCAUUCUGUUGUGUGCAGCUGGUGGCUGCCCUGGCCGAUCCCUGCCCUCCCUGGCCCUGAGCUCACAGAUACCCUUACAAACCUUAGGAGGGACAGGACUGACUCUCAGCUCAGUGCUGGGCCCAGGAGCCAGUGCUUUCCCAUGAACUGCCUUCCCUAGUUCCAGGCCCUGGGGGACGCCCGCUCACUUCACCCUGUCCCCAUCACAGCCUCACCAGGGCAGAAGUUGUCUCUGCCAGAAGUUGGUAGCAUAGCUUGUUGCUGUCCCCAGGACAGCAAUGUCACCUAACACCCUUUCAUGUUGACCUGGGCCCAUGUCCUGCUGAGAUGUGCGGUGCUUUGGUUCUUCUUUCUUCUUUAUUGAGUCUCACUAUGUUGCCCAGGCUGGCCUCAGACUCCUGGGCUCAAGUUUUUCUCCUGCCUUGGCCUCCUGAGUAGCGGGGACUACGGGUAGACACCACCAUGCCUGGCUCUUCUGGCUCUUCUCUGUCUCUGUUGCGGGUCUGCUCGGGUACUGGCGGGGCUGGGCUGUGAUGGAACUGGUGAGAAUUGGCCUCCUCUGCUUCCCAGAGGCAGGAGAGAGUGUGUGGCCUCUCUUUUCCCAGUCAGAGAGAGAGAGAGAGAGAGAGAGAGAGAGGAGAAUUUUAAUAUUUAUUUUUUAGUUUUCGGCGGACACAACAGCUUUGUUUGUAUGUGGUGCUGAGAUUCGAACCCGGGCCGCACGCAUGCCAGGCGAGCGCGCUACUGCUUGAGCCACAUCCCCAGCCCUGGCAUGUCCCUUAUUCUGCCUUCUGCCAAGACAGCCCCUUUCCUCCUGGGGGUGGGUGGGGUACCUUGUACUGGGCAGAAUUCUACCACCCACCAGUUGGGAGACUUUGGGGAGGUACCUUACAGCUGUGGUCCAGUUUCUUCUGUGAAAUGGGCACAGUGGGAAUAAAGCUGGCCCUCUGCAGUCUCGGGCUGUACACCCUCAGAUUCAACAGAACUUGGAUCAAAAAAUUCUAAAAGAAAUUGGAUUUUCUUGCUUCUAUCUGUUUCCUAAACAAUGCAACUAUUUACUAUUUACCUACCAUUGACAUUGUAUUGGGUAGUAUAGGUCAUCUAGAGAUGAUGUAAAUCAUAUAGGAGGGUGUGCAUAGGUUCUCUGCAAAUACUGCGCCAUUUUAUAGAAGGGACUUGAGCACUGGGGAUUUUGAUAUUCUGUAGAAAAUCCUGGAACCAAUUCUGCAGAGAUUCUGAAGGGCUGUAGUGCUUGUCGGUUGUGGUGAGAAUCCAGGAAGCUGGUUCCUGUGCGGGAUUUAACACUCACGCACAUGUGUGUGGGAUUCAUGCCCCUCCUUAGAGAGCAUGGAGCCAUGCAGGGCCUGUAAGUGUUGGUUGAGUGAGUGACUGGAUAGGUAUUAUUCUCUCUCCCUCUUUCACUUUUGUGCUGUAGGUAUUUUAAAAAAUCUGUUGAAAAUGCCACUGGUUGUUACUGAUGAAAUCCUGCAAUUAAGGGCUCCAUUUGCUUAGGCCCACGCAGCUCACAGCCCUGGUUUGCUAGCUUUGAAUGUGGCCAGAGCCAGCGAGGCUCGGUGCCCACCCCUGCCAGCAGCGCUGGAGCGUGCUCAGACGUGACAUGUAUGCCUGUGAAGCUGACAGCUGGCUCAAAAGCAGGGUAUUGGGGUGUGUGUUGGUGGGGGGGGGGCAUAAAUGGUUUUGGAGUGUUGUCACCUUUUGUGCCUUCAUGCUCUGCAAGCAUCUCACCCCUGUUUACCAAGGACAGAGACCUGACUUGACACCACAGCUCCCAAUGCUGCCAAUGCCAUCUCCUUUAUACUGAGAGCUGAACCUUUCUGCACAAGGUGUGUCAGUGAGAGAAACAGAUGAGGAGGGAACCGAGAGGCCCUGAGAGCACCGCUGACAUCAGCCGCAGGAUCCUAGCCAGGAGGCCCCCAGGGUGGCUUCUGUCUGCCUCUCCCAGCUCUUCCCACGGCUGGCUCCUGCUUGUGGGUCAGGUUGCAGACCCCAGACCCACUCCCAGAGAAGCUUCUGGACCUUCCAAUCCAGAGUAGCCCCACCUACUGCCUGGCUGGGUGUGUGCUGGGCGGGAGUGGCUGUGACUUGCUGGCAGGCAGAGGGAAGGAGUAGUUCCCCCAGAGCCACACACUCACCUGCUGUGGCAGGAAUCUGGCGUCCUCCCAGACAGGCAAAGGAGAUCAUGGGGAACUGAGGGGAGUCAUCCACAGAAGUCUCUAAAUUUUGCUUGGCUCUCUGGAUACAGAGUUGAAGGAACCUCAGGCCUCACUUGAUUUUGAGUGGCUGUGAUGAAGGACCCGAGAGAAAGUCCCUGCUAGGGCUGGGGAUGUGGCUCGAGCGGUGGUGCGCUCGCCUGGCAUGCGUGCGGCCCGGGUUCGAUCCUCAGCACCACAUACAAACAAAGAUGUUGUGUCCGCUGAGAACUGAAAAAUAAAUAUUAAAAAAUUCUCUCGCUCUCUCAAAAAAAAAAAAAGUCCCUGCUAGUUGCUCUCCAGAGAACAGCCACACUGUGGGGUGAGGAGAAGCCAGGACAUAUCUGAGGCAGCCUGCUACUUGUGGUCAGGUGAUCACGACACAAGGCCCUUCAGGUCCUGGGGACACCUGUGGGCUUAAAGUGGGCAGAAUCAGGAGUGUUCCAGAAUAAGAGGUCAGGUAGGACAAAGGUGUUAGCAGCACCACUGAGAGCGAGGUGGCUGUCAACACAGGUGUGCCUCCCCAGGGAAUAGGGAUAGUAUGGGUGGGAGGGGAAAUGGGGAGUCCAGGGCAUACAAGCACCCCUACAUUUCCACAGCCAAGCUCAGGUGUUCUGCCCUGAGCCGAGAUACUGACAUGGAGGUGAGGGUGCAAGUCUGAGGGCUGCUGGAGCUUUGGCGACCUUGACCUUGACCUUGACUCUGCCUCUGACUCCUGGAUGGAGGAGGCGGUGACAUUAACUCCUUGCUGGCCGAGGGUACUGGGUCUGCAAAGAACACUGUGUGUGGGGACAUCAAAGCUUUCUAAUCCCCUGGCCUGCUGGGCGUCUUCACACCUCGGUGGCACCUGUGUUCUCAGUUUCCAUGGAAAGAUGGACACUGGGUCUUUUGGGGAGGUGAGAGAGGCACUGGGACCCCAUGGAUGGGAGCCCUUCAGCAUUUCCCCAAGUGCACUGUGAGCAGAGGUCCCCUGCAACGCUCUUGGCUGGGGCGGGAAGGGGACCAGGUGAAGGGUUGGGGAGCAGAGUGUUCAGAAGGCACUGUCCCCGAGUGUGGAUUUACACCUCUGCCACCAGGGAGCUUGGAAAGUUAGGUGUGAGAUCCAGUGGCCUAAUUUUAGACCUUGGGUCUCCAUGUCAAAAUGGCAGCAAGAUAAUCAAAAAGAAAGCUGGCUGCGUGACCUUGACCCCUGUUGAUCACAGUCAAGGCAGUUCCAUGGGGCGAGGAGAGCACAUCUCUGGGCAGGGCUGCCAUGGCUGCCUUUCUGCCUGAGGUGGCCUCUGUGGCACUGGGCCCCUUGGCCGCCUGGGCCCAGGUGUGGCUCUGUGACCAUCCUGAAUUGGCCUCAGGUCCCUGCAGAUGAGGGGCUGUGCUGUCCCCACAGAAGAGCUGUCUCCCUACAGGAGACAGAGUGUGGGGUUAGGGGAGUAGGAGAGGACGGUGGCAGCUGUUUGGGGUGAGACAAGAAGCCCAACCAGCACAUGAGACCACCGUUGACCCAGUUUUGCAUCAGACAAUUCUCUUAGCUUUUAGUGGGACUUCUGAUGCCCCUGGUUGUUUGGUUCUUUUCCUAGUUGAUAGUCUUUCUAAAUUACAUGGGGGCUCCCCGCCUCUUUGGUCCAACCAUUCCAUGUUGACGGAGGUCUCCAGCAGCUCCCUGGUGCUGUCCAGAGCUUGGUUAGGCUCCGCUGGGACACACACCCUCGUGCCCCUGCUGGUGGCCCUGAUGCUGCUGUCCUUCAGGACCCUGUGUGUGUGUGCUAUGUGUCUGCCGUCUCCGAGCUCCAUUGGCCACAGUGUCUCAGCAUCUGGACCCAGUGCGGCCCCGCCCCGCCUCCUGUCUCUGGCUUCAGGUGCAGUGAGUGCCCUGGGCACGCAGUCGGGUUGUCAGACUUGUGUGAAGUGAAGGCAUUGUGACCCGGGGCAGGGUGACGCUGCCCACCUCUGCACUGGCUCUCACUGGUGCCCUUGGUAUAGAUGAACAAGGACACCUAGCAUGAUCCACGUGAACCUGAACCAGGCUUGCUGGGCCUCAAGCUGCACAGUCAACCCCUCCCCCCCACCUUGCUUGCCGCCACACACGGCCAUCUUCUUCUUACCAGUGGAGACGGAGUUAAUUUAUUGUUUUUAAUGAUCUCUGCAGUCAUUAUGUUUAAAAUAUUAAAGUAGAUAAUAAGUGUGCAUGAUAAAAAUCCAAUAGUGCCAGAAGGUGUAUAGCCAAAUGGUUCCCUCAGUUCUCUUUCUCCUGAGCCCCUUUUCCUUCCUGAGAAGUCUCUGUAUAAAGCAUCUCUGUACAGACAAGUGUCCCUCUUUACCCUACCUGUGUGGCAGCAUGACAUUCUCUGUAUUUUCCUUUGGGAUGAUCUUCUAACAAUAGUAGUAACUGACAUUAGUGCUUCCAAAGUGUUCUAAUUAAUGGAUGUUUUAACUAAUCCUUAAAGUCAUUCCACCUCUCAGUGGUUUUUAGAGGUUGUUCACUUUAGCAUCUACUGAUCUGCUUAACUCUUUACAUGGCUGUGUAGUACUUCAUCAUGCAGGUAUAAUUUAUGUACCCAUACUCCCACUGAUGGCCAUUUGAUUUCAACUUUGACUACUAUAAACAAUGCCAAAGUAAACCUCUUUAUUUUACUUAUGAGCCCAUGUGGGUAGAUACACGCAGCGUCUACCUCUAGUCUGGAAUUGCUCUGGGCAUGAUUGUUGAAGGGAGGGAGUGUGUUUGUGAAGGAGCAAGACCCUGGAUUCCUAAGCAGACUGUCCUGGUGGGGCUUGUGCAUGAGAUCUUUGGCCCCUGAGUGCUAUAGGAGUCUCCCAAUUAUGGCUCAGCCCUGUAUCUGCAAAGCCAAUGCAGGUCUCUUGUUCAAAACUCAAUUUGAUCGGUGGCGCGGGAGUCGUACAGGGCCAUCCCAGGAACCCAAGCUUCAGUAGCCCCUGGGACAGUCGAGGAUCAUGUUGUUCUGUCUUGUCCCUCCCUUUGGGCGACAGAGAACUGUGAACAUCCCUGUGCUCUGAGAGUCACGGGAAACCUUCUGGCGGGUGUGUGUAGGGGGGUCUAAUUAGCAUAGAACAUGGUAUUUUGAACUCAGGCUGUCCCUAGAGAGGAGAGAAAGUCCCUGUGCCCAGUUGUGCUGUCCUCUCCCUGUCAGAUGGGUUUUCAGGGACAGUCGCACCACUGUGUGAAGGAGGGUGGGAGGAUUGGGUUUCUGUGAGCAGGCUGUCUUUUCUGUUCUUUCUGAAGAUGGGCAGGGUGUGUGGCACUCUGCCGUGUUCGUGCCCCCUCUCCAGCCAGCACCGUCUCUGGAAGGGAGCAUGGGGCGUGAUAUGGACAUGCAGGUGCCCACUGGGCUUGUGGGCUCAGAAUGGUCAUGUGGCCCUAGGAGGACCUGCCUCCUGUCUGCUGGGCUGGACAGAUUGUCACUGCAGUGGACUCUGGCUGUUGACCCUUGGUUGUGAGGCAUUAGCCUCAGGGAGCUGGGCAGAGGCAUAUGGAGAGCGCCCUGUGUUGUCUUUGCAGCUUUUCUGGAAAUCUCAAAGUUUUCCAGAAUAAAAGAUCAUUUCAAAAAAUUACUGUGGCUGCUUGUCACCAUGCAAGGUCUGCACCACUACCCGGGUGGGGAGUCCUGAUGAGUGUGCCCCUGGACAUAGGCACAGGGCUUGGGCAUCUUAUGGCCCAGGUGGUCCCCCAGCCUGCUGACCAAACAGGCCCUGCCUCUGACUCGUUAAGGCCUGUACCCACUAUAAAGCCCUCAGGGACUCUGGGGUGACAUGCUAACCCCUGGAGGGACUGGGGGACACCCUCUGUAACCUGCCUCUUACCACCUGGCCCACUCCUGGCCCAGUCCCAGCUCUCAGCUGCCAUGUUCCCUCCUUCUGCCUCUCCACCCCCCACAUCCCAUUUUCCUUUGUCACACUGUGAAAUGCACCACACAGUAACAUUGUUGUCACAUAUACAGCGACAUGAUAUUUUAGUGGAGCUGAAAAAAUUUUUAUUGCCUGCUAUUUUUGCAGCACCUUUUCCUAAACGUUUAGAUGUAUUUAGGGACAUAGAGACCAUUGUAUUUCAGUGGUCUUCAGGGUUCAGUUCACUAACGCGAUGCUCAGGUUUGUCGUCACCGAGGAGCAGUGGGCUAGCCCAUGUAGCCAAGAUGUGUUCCAGGUUGUACCAUCUCACCUGGGAUGUUCCCACAAGAAAUUGGCCAUUGAUGCAUCUCGGAAUUUAUCCCUGCCAUUGAGCCAUGUGUGACUCUGUUUCCUCAGAGUUCAUGUGUGGAUCAUAGGGUGAUUUUGAUUUCUCAAGUGCCUUCCUUUGGGCUCUGGCUUCUAUCAUGGGGAGACACCUGCUCCCUAAAUAUGAACCCUAAGAUACCUGCUCUCAGUUUCUCUCCCUUGCUGUAGCCCAGGCACUGGUGAUUACUGGAGACCAGGCGCCCAGGGGAGCAGUCACUGGGCAGGGGUGUCACCUUCCAGGCUGGCACAGAUGCACAGGCUGGGCUGUGGGAACCAUGUAGGGACCAGCCAUAAUGCACCAGGACUUUUUUUUCUUUUCUUUUUUGCAGUGUGGGGAUGGAACCGAGAUGUGCUCUACACUGAGCCCCAUCCCUAGCCCUUUUUAUUUUUUAUUUUGAAACAGCUUCUUGCUAGGUUACCCAGGCUGGCCUUGAACUUAUGGUCCUCCUGCCUCAGCUUCCUGAGUCACUGGGAUCACGGGUGUGUGCUACCAUGCCCAUCCGCACCAGGACUUUUGCACAUCAUAAUCAUGACAUUUCUGUGCCUGGAAGGCCCUUCUGUAUUCUGCAUGAUGUCUCCUUUUCACUCAUUGGGACUGAGAAUGAAGAUCACCCUCCAUGACUGUCUCAACCCUAAGUUAUUCUUUCUCCCAUUACCCCAUCCCUGGUCAUAAUGUGGCAUCUGUGCUCUGCAGACAAGAGGCCUCCCAAGGGCACCUGGCCUGUUCUCCUUAGUGCCUCAGUUUGUCCCAUGGCAGCUGCUGCCUGGUGGCCUGAAGAACAGGUGUGUGCAGGGUUGGGGGCUCUGCAGCGUGGAAGUCCUAGGCCACAGCGUGAUGCUCACGGACAGGUCUGGACUGGUUUGCAGAUGUCUUGCUUUGCCUUGGCAGGUGUGAAAUAGCAGGUCGGACCUCCUUGCCUGUGGAAUCACUUCUCAUUGACUUAAUUAUCCUGCAUCAACAGUGAAGCUGCUAAUAGGGAACAUUGGGUGCCCUGAGGAGGAGUGCCACCUUGCUCAAGAGCGUGCUUGAAGGGUGGAGGGUGGGAGGCCACUUGGCACUUCAGAAAGGCAUGUCCUUAGCUGGUUGCAGGUUUGUCCUUCAGUCACUUGGACUUAAGCAGAACCUAGUCCCCGGCCACUUCUUUCUUUUCUUAAAAUAAUAGGAAAAGGAAGCCCAUGGGGCAGGGGACUGGGUCAGCACUCAGCAAACGGAAUAACUUGUCCCAGCGACUCUGGGACUGCAGCUGUGAGGAUAAUGAGGUGCCUUCCUGGGCAUAUAAUCUCAGCAAUUAUGCAGAGCUCAUUGGAAAUUGGCGAACUGCCUCCAAGCUGAGAGCCCUGGUGGGCUACUGAGGACCUGCCUAUCCCUGGGUCUCCUGCUGUGCUGCUUCUCUGCCUUGAGAGUGCUCAUGGAGCAGGAGCCAGGAGGCCAGGUUCCCUCCAGGGCGAACCGUGCGGGAGGCUGCUGGCUGGACAGGUUGUGGGGAGGCAAAGCCAACUUCCAGAAGCUUCACACUGCUGCUCAGAGCUCUGCGGGUGCUGUCUCCUCCUCCGGUGGCCUCGGCGGUCUUAGCAGAUGGAAGCACUGAGGAUUGCUUAGAUCCUGUCACACCCUGACCCCUUGGAUGGGCUAUGUGAGGCUCACUGUGGUUUGAAGUUUGCUUCUGAAAAUGGGGUGGAGAGGACCCCUGGAAGGGAGCCCAGGCCUUGUGAGUCUGUACCUGGUGGGUCAGGGCUGCUGGUCAUCCCCCGGGAUGUGGUGAAGAGGUGAGCCCUGCCAGGCCAAGGUGGUUAUAGUAGGCCAUGCCCCACCUGGCUGGGCAUGUGCUCUUCACUGGUGCUGAGAUCUCCUGUUUUACUCCAUUAGUAAUGACUUUGGUGGCCUCGGGUAACACCGUCAUCAUAGUCCUUUGCAAAUGCAGGAGUGGUACUGGCUUUGAGCACCUCACUUAUCAGGGAUUCAGUCAGUACUGCUGCAGACUUCCAGAAAGGUGGUGAGAGGCCUGGUCCCUCCCAGUGAGGUCACAGGCUGCUGAGGAGGUGAGAUGGGUACAGAGAACGCAGAGCUCGGAAGCUGGCAUGCUGGGAGUGAGGCCCAGGCAGGGGGGCCGGGGGGAUGCAGAGAGAGAGAUGGAAGGAGACAGGCACCCUGAGGGCCAGAGAGAUUGUAGCAGGAAGGACCAGGCAAGGGAAAGAAUGAUUUUCAGGCAGAGGGGGGUUUAACUGGCAGAUCUGAAGCACAUAGAAAAGUAGAAAAAAAUAAACUACGCACUGGGCUUCUAGAACAUCUUGUGUUUGCUGACAUCAUAGACACCCGGACAUGUCCUUCCUCAACAUUUCAGUGUAGUAUUCCUAAAACUAAGGACAUUUCCUACUUCAGCACAACUUCAUUAUCUCAAAAGAGAACAUUUUGAGCAAAAGUUUGGAAGCAAGCAAGAGUAGGGGUUGUUCUGGAAUGGAAGGAAUGAGUGAGUCAUGGAUGUACCAGGCCCUCAGAGGGACACGAGGAGUCACUCUGGGUCUGUUGUCAAGAGGUACAGUGUCUGGAGGAGGAAAUGGAGCCGAGACGGGGGCCUAGGACAGAAGAGCCGGGUUGUGUGUGCGGUGUCUGUUCCAAGGAAUGGUCCUGGGGCUGGGAUACUCCAGGGUGGGUGGACGCAGGGUGUCCUGACCUGGCAGCACAGCACAAUGCAGGCAGGCAGAGGGCAGGCAGCAGGCUCCUGUGGGUGGAAUGUGCCCGAGACCAUGAGGUGCCUGGGUACCCAGGCUGCACAGGGGAGCAAAACCAAGUUAGAGGUGGGCUUGGAUGCUAGAGGGUAGGAGGCUCGGAGGUGGCUGGUCUGUUUGUUGUUAGGCCUUAUAUGGGGACCACGUGGGUGGGUGGGUUCCCUCAGAAUGCUCUUGAAUGGCCCCACUCUGUUCUGCACCAUGUCAAGUGGGCUGGUUCCGUCUCUGAGAUCCUGGCUCCAGCCCUGCCCAACAACCCCAGUUCCUGGAUUUGCCCUGGAGAGGUCCAGUGGCUUGGAAAAGUGGCCCCCAACACAUGUGUUAAAGGCUUUGUCCCCAGCUUGGUGCUUUUGGGAAGUGGUGGGGCCUUUAGAGGUCUUCAGACUGAGGGGGCAUGUUCUUGAGGGUAUUAUGGACACCAUCCCCUUCUCUCUCUCCUUCAUCACCUGGCCAUGGGAGGAGCAGUUUUGACCUUUCACAUGCUCCCACCAUGAGGUCCCACCACAGACCCAAGCAAUGGGGACAACUGACUAUGGCCUAAAACCCCUAAAACUGUAAACCAAGCAAGCCUUUUCUCUUUGUAAGUCAAUUGCUGUUGAUAUUUGUGAUUGUGAUUCAGAGCUGACUAACACAACAGGGGUGCAUCCUGGCAAAGACACAGGGACCCAUAGGCCGCACAGCCUCAUAAUGGCUGCCCAUGUGGGAAGCUGGGACUGAGUGGCCUGUUGGAAGAGGAAAUGCCAGGUCUGGGUCAUGAGGGCCAGGGGCCCAUGCUGGUUUUGUUCUGGAGUAGGACAGCCCAGGAACUGUUCACUUUUCAUUGCUGGGACACAUCUUUGCUCCUUCUUUCCCAAAACCCAUCCUCGAGUCCCUUGGUGGAUGCACUGUAGCUAGGGAGGUUUUGGGACCAGUGUGAUAGCUAAAAUGCUGGUGUUUCUGCCCCAAUUUCACACAUGGAUGGAGUCAGGAAUUGGAGGAGGAGGCCCUAUUUUGCCGUGGUAUUGAAAUAAGUGUCUUUUCUGUUCAGGGAGCUCUAGGGAGUCAGAGCUGGUUCAGUUGUGAGGGCAGCUCUUCCAGCUCCCUAGCCCUCUGUGUGCGAGAACACCAAGAUGUGACCUGGGAAGAGCCAGCAGGAAGGAGGGCAGGCACAGUGUUCCCACGCCCCAGCUGUGUGGCUUUUGUGUUACUUAACCUCUUUGUGCCUUUGUCUCCCACUUGUGUAUAAGAGAAAGUCCCUUCCUUGUAGGCAGCCAGGAGGAUUUUGGGAAGUACCUUAUACCCACUGAAGUCAGCCAUCCUGACCCCCAACCCCGCUCCCCAUCGCCAGCCAUGCCUGUGCCCUCAAUGGUCACCGUAGGAGGCACAGAGACUUCUUCUAGCAAGACUGUAUUGUUGAGAUGCCUCAAAACAGGAGCUCUAUCUAGGAGUCCUUUGACAAAGAUUUUCAUCAACACGAGUAACUGAGUCACUAGGGUCAUAUCUCAAAAAUCAUUUGCACGAUAUCAAGCUCAGAGGUUGUGUUUGGGGGUCUGAUUUUGUCCUUUCCAUGUGAACUGGCCUUGCAGCCAUCUCCCACUCUGGUCCCAGGUAGUGUGAGCCCCUUCAGGGACCCCUUCAAAGGGUGGUCACAUCCAUCCGUAGCUCUUCAGGGCCAUAGGCAGCUCUGGCUGGGGCCCCCACUUUAAGAAGGGCUACACACUGUGGAAGGACAGGUCCUAUACUGACCCUGUCAUCUCAACUUGUUCAAUUCGCAGAACGGAAAUGUGCUCACACAGCAGCCACGGGCCUGAGAAAGGCACUAGAGGGGAGGCAGAGGGCUGGGGAGUGAAGGGACACCCCAGGUUAGAGNGAGCUCUGAGCCCCACUACCUUGCAGAGCCUUGUGCAUAUGAAGAAGUCCCAGAAGCCCCAGCAGUUGGCGUCCUUUCUGGAAGAUCCAAGCUAUCAUUUCUUACAUGACAGAAAUCCUUCCAAAACACAGGCAGCCCCUGCUCUGGACCUUGGUGCCCUUGCUGUGGCUCAGCUUGCUCCCCCUGGAAGGCCAAGGAUAUUCCGCCAAUCCCAUGGGCGCCCAGUGUGGGAAGCAUCAGCCAGGCAGGUGGGUGGAGGUGGCACUGAGGCAAGGCCCCAGAGGUGAUCCCAGGAGGCUGCAGUAAGUUGAGAGCACAUGGUGCACUUAUGAGGGCUCACCUGAGCUGGCACCGGCCAUUCCAGGCCACGGUCCCACGAACUGUGUGACAGCAGCCGCAGACACUGCUCUAGCGCCUCUUUCUGGAUUAAUUGCAAGAGCUCUCAAUUAGGCCAACCACUUUUCCUCAGCACAGUGCUUAUCUUAAAGAAUAACAAGAUUAGCUGUGCCCUCCGGGCCCCAUGCUAACACCCAGGGAGCUUUGCUGGCCCCAUAGGACCUUUUGGAGGCAGUGCCGGGCAGGUGGUACAUAGGGGCUGGAUCAGGUGACCAUGGCCUCUCUGGUUGGCCUUGGAGUCAGGCCCAGCAGCUUGUUCCUCUGGGAAGGAAUUGUAGGGGGUGGGGGACUUUCUGCAGUGGCAGACCAAGCUGGACUUCCUGCUGCAGGUGCCCCGGGCACAGUCCCCUUCCUGUCUCAGUAGCUGCACGUUCUUGAGCUUCAUCUCUGAAGCUGAGAGUCCUUGCCUGAACAAUGAACACCACACUAUUUAGCUCUGGAGGCCUUCAGCCCUCUGUGCUCACCGAGUAGCAGCCCAGGCAGGCCACUCCCUCAGGGAGUGGCUGCUGGCUUGUGGAAGUUGGGGCUGGGGACCAGGCCCUGGGGAUGAAGCCCUGUGGCAUCUGAGUGUCUACACCUCCACGGCUGAUGAUCCUGGGGCCUUCUGUGCCUUCUUUCCUGGGAGAUGGAUUUCCCUUGCCUGGCUGAGUAGAGACAGCUGCAUUUCCACGGCCACAUGCCCAGGCCCCGAUGAACCUCAGAGGGUUCCAUGCUGCUCUCGCCCCAGAGGAUGAGCAGCCUGGGUCGUGGGGAUGCAUGAAGCUAGGGGAGCAAGAAGAGCCCAAGCUCUGGAUCAGGGGCCUUGGCCAAUCCAAGGUGACCUUGGGAAGCCAUCACACUUGCAGAUGUGUGAAGAACAUCUUUGCAGGGUUCUGGGAGGGAGCAGCCAGCCUGGAGCCUGGUGCCUGGCACCUGCCUCACGUGACACUCCAGACAGCAGCAGGCUGAGCACGGCUCUGCUGACAUCAGCAGCAAUCCUGUCAGUUGGAAUAAACACAGUUAUAUAGUCAGCCCCCAAGCCCCUCGGUGGGCCUGUCCGAUUCAGUGGAGCCUGCUUCCUCAGCUGCCCGGGUAUCUGGGCACAGCAGGUGUGGUGGUUGGAAAGAGGGAAGUGGGUAGAUAAGUACAAGGCAGUGGAUUCUCUCCCUGCCCAUUCAUAUUUAUAAUCAGUGAACAUUUAUUGAGUGUAUGCUUCAAGGUGCUCAGAGGAGAACACUUGGGGAGACUCAUCUGCUUGCCAGUGAUGAGUGUUUGGUGUGCCAGGUGCCCUCUGGGUGCCCUGAAGGUGCAGUCUCACCUGCAUCUUCUGAGUCCUGGGGGAAGGGGCUGUGCUGGUGGGGGCUGUUGAGGGAGGUGGUGAGGGGAUGGCAUGGGGAGAGUGGGACCAGACCUCACGUCCUCUUGUUCUAUACCCACUUGGAUGUGGGACCUCUUCUGAAUGUCCCCUAGCUCCUGCUCUGCCCAGACACCACAGGUGACAGGAUCUGCUUGGUAUCAGCAGGUGGCUGUGGCUUCAGUUGCUGGUUUGGGGAUCCUGGCUCAAUCAAGCACCUGCCCCUCCUCCUGCUGUACACCAUGUGCGCCGCCUGCAUUCAGUGUCUGAGCCCCAUGCUCCGGGCAGAGCUGCGGGGGCAGGUGCUGGAGCAGACCCGCAGCUCACCUGGGACACCCUCCCUUGCGCCCGCCCCAUCGGCCCCCAUGCUGCCCAUCCUCUCGCUGGGGAGGGGGAGGUCUUCUGCUCUCCUCCCCACCUGGAUCCCUCCAGGCCUCCUGCCACCAUCCUCAUCCCCACCUAUGCCCCAAUGCCCGAUCCUGCCCCCAGUCCUUUAGGUGGUGCCCUACUUCUCAGCAUGAAGUUGUGCCCUGUCCUUUGAGCCCCAGAAGGAGGGCAGCAGCUGCCCUGCUCAGCAAUUCUCUGAGUAGCUCACACCCUAUGGCCAUUUGGGUGGAGGGCUGGACACGGAUUAGCUGGCAGCCAGCCACCCACUGGGAGAAAUGAAAACUCGAGGCCACGUGCAAACCCAUCUGUGGACUUCCCUGCAAAGUGUUCAAUCCCACUCCAGCCAACCAUGGUGCAUGCACACCACAGAACCUUCCAUGGCCCCCUAAAGGACAAAGCCAUGGAUCCACACGACACCCUGGACACAGUGCAGGGGCAUCAUGCAAUGGAAAGGGGCCAAGAGUGCAUGAUUCUAUUUCCUGGGCAUGCUGGAAAAGAAAAAGGGGGGUGGUGGUGACAGAGGACAGGGACAGGGUGGGGACGACCUGGCUGCUCAGGUGUAGACAAUUUUUAAAAGGAUGGAUGAAUCCAUCCCUGUAUUGAUCAAGUUGUCUAUGUGACCAUAUCCAUUUGUCCAAAUCACAGAACUGUACACUUAAAAGGAUGUGUGAAGAACAUCUUUGCAGGGUUCUGGGAGGUAGCAGCCACCCUUACAUACAUUUUUACUGUACGUAAAUUUUGCCUCAAAAUCUGACCUAAAGUUUUUUGUUUGUUUUUUGUGUUUUUUGGUACUGGGAUUGAACUUAGGGGCACUUGACCACUGAGCCACAUCCCCAGCCCUAUUUUGUAUUUAAUUUAGAGACUGAGCCCUGAGCCCCAUGCUCCAGUCUCACUGAGUUGCUUAGUGCCUUGCUUUUGCUGAGGCUGGCUUUGAACUCAUGAUCCUCCUGUCUCAGCCUCCUGAGCCACUGGAAUUACAGGUGUGAGCCACCAUGCCUGGAUUGAUGUAAAGAUUUUAAAAUCCCUUCUUCUAAAAUCACAUCUUUCUUUAGGGGGAAAAAAACCAUUUUGCCGACAGUAGAACUCUUAGCAUGAUGAUGUUGAUACGACCAAUGUGUGUUGCUGCCCCGAGCCCCCCAGGGAUGCUCAUAAAGCCCUGCUUGGAAACCCGCUGGCUGCUUAUCAGGCCCCUGCGUAUCCAGACAACCAGCCUGUCGCUCACUAGAUACUUUCAAAUUUCCUUUCCAAGGCAGGCUGAAGUCCAUGUAAAUAUUGACCAAAGAAGGCAACCCGGGGUUUGCCCUGCACUUGGUUAAUAGUUGAAGAGUCACUCCUGGGUUAUUUUUCCAGUACCUUUGAACAGGUGGGCCUUCUUUUAUUUAAAAUAAAAAGUCUAAAACAGCUACAUAGAAACCAAACAGGAUAACCGCAGUAGAAACCCCUCCGAUUUCAAUGGAUCUGAGCGAAUCCUUUGAUAAAGCAGUGACCUCUCUUGUCCUCUUUACUGUAUUUAUUAAGGAAAUUCCUAGUGUCUAUUUGAUUUGCCUCAGUGAGGACUUGUCUCACGUGCGCAGCCUCCCUUUGUCCUAGCCUGGGGCUCUCUGGGUGCACGAGACUGUCCGCUUUGGAGAAGCCACAGUGCAUCAGUGGAGUGGCAGAGUCUCUAGGUGGCUUCACGGCUUCCUUGUCAAGGUGUGCACAGGCACCCAUCUAUGGCACCCUUCAUCUACCACUGGGGACUUGAGGGUCCCUGAGUGCUGGGAAUCAGAAAUCAGGAUGGGCCACGCCAUGGUUCUAGCAGCUAUGCUGUCCUCUCCUGAGGUUGUUGACCAGCUGACCACUCCCUGUUCCUUUCUGUCUGGGUAUCCCCUGCAGGUGGUGGGAUAAGGCCCAACUCAAGUCAAAGUCAACCAACACUCCCUGAGUCCUCUGGAAGGUUAGGUGAUGGAAGGACACCUAAUUGUCUAAUGGUCCAUGCCGGCCUGGGCCAGGCACCACCCCCACCUCAAAUUCCCCUCCCAGGAGAUCAAGACUCAGUGAGAAAGAAUAAGUGACUCAUCUAAGGCCACCCAUGGGAAGGGGCAGAACCACAGUCUAGAUGCAGAUGUCUGCCCUCCCCACUCUACCAGCUCCAAGAGCUGGGUGCCAGAUUGAUGGCUGAGCUUGGGGACAUGUCAGAGGCUCACCUGCCUUGCCAGGCCCUGGGGCGGGGCCUUUGGUCUCUGGAGGCAUGUGUGGCCCUUGGCUCUCCUCUUCCCCCUCCCUGUCUUGUCUUUCCUCCUGUUUCCCCCAAAAGAUAAAUAUCAGGAACAGAGGAGCAGGCCCCAAGGUGGAGCAUGAGUAGUGGACAGGAGAGCAGUCCACACAGUGUGACCCUGUCUGAGGCCAGUGUUGGAAGAGCUCGCUGCAGGCUUCUGGGGCCCAGGACUGGGCCUGUGUGUCGGGAGGAGCUGCAGCCUUCUGCCAUCGCUGGGCCACUGAUCCUCUUGCAGGGGUGGGCCUGGGGACAUUUAAGGACAGGAUCUGCCCUCGUGGGGGAUCUCAGCAGAAAGGAAAGGGGCAAGGCCCAGAACGGGUUCUUUCAUGGGGGCAAGGCAGGUAGCUGUGGGGCCCUGUGUCUGGGUGGUCGGCAGGGUGCCCUCCUCUCUCCCUUCUUUCCAGGGCAGCCCUGGCCCAAUAUUAGGGACUGGUAUCUUUAUAAGCAGGAAGGGGAUCAAGUGCAUCAUCACUGCCCUAAAUCUCUCAAGUCACUGCCCUAAAUCUCUCACACAGCUGACAUCCUAUUCGCACCCUCCCUGGCCUGCAAGGGAGUCCUGCAGCCACACUGGAUUCCACAAGGCCAUGGCCUCAUCUAGAGGAGAAGCCCCCAGGGGUGACGGGCUCUCUUGAGGGGAGGGUGGUGGGAAGUGAGCCCUGAGAACUUCCCUGCCCGGUCAAGAAGGGAGGGCUCCUCGCCAUUAUCCCUCUACCCAAACCACCAGGAGCCAACUGCAGGGUGGGGGGGUGCUUCCACAAAUGCCCCCUUUCUACUCUGUCCUCAGCAGUGGAGUGUGAAUUUUUGGUGGAGGUGACAGUGGGACCCUGAGGCCCUCCUAGCCCCAGGAAGAAAGGUUGGGAAGCAUCUGUAUGUGCUUUGGACCCAAGGCACUGGCUCUUCUGAGGUACUGGGGGCUGCUGUAGGAGGCCUGUGACCUUGGCCCAAGUGUGUUGGGUAAAGCUCAGGUUGGAGACUUGGUAGGGGAAAUGGGGCUCAUCGAGUGUGGUCUUGGGCUGCUUGUCCUUGAUCAGCCCUUCCCUCCAGGAAGCUGGUCCGUCAGAAGGCUUUGGGGUCAUGUGGCGCUGCCCGAGUGCAGCUGCUGCCAGGCCUCCUGGGUGGGCAUCUCUGUACUGAGGGGUGAAGCGGGGCUGGGUGGACAGCAGGCUGUCCUGGGGGUAGGGGUCACUGCAGAGCCUCCCUUUCAGAGCUAGGAGUCCCUGGGAAUGCUGGGGGCCAAGCCCAGGAGGGGCCACAACUGGAGCCAGACCCUGGUUUGAAUCCAUUUGCCCACUGUGUGCCCUUGGGCAAACUCUUCUAUAAAACACCCCCACAGAACCUGAGGGAAGAGGGGAGCCCUCCCUGGCUCUUCAAUGAGGACCUUAACCUGAAGGAAGCUGGGACCUGGCCAAGCUCACAUGGUCAGUGAACAGCUGCACAUUGCUGUUUCACUUUUUAUUUUGACCCCUCCACCACUGUGCCUGUUAGGAAUGAGCUCAUGCUGGGGCUGUGUCCCUCUUGUUCCUCUAUCCUCUGCACCUCUCCCGGGCCACCGUCCCUUCUCUCCUUCCCCUCCCUCUCCCCUCUCUUUUGCCAGAGUGUUUUAAAGCAGAUCCUGACACCAUGUUAUUUUAUCUCAUGUGCGUGUGUGUGUGUGUGUGUGUAGUUGGACACAACACCUUUAUUUUUAUUUAUUUAUUUUUAUGUGGUGUUGAGGAUCAAACCCAGCACCUUGCACAGGGAAUGCUGAGCCACAACCCCAGCCCUGAAAUAUAGAAUUUCUAAUAGAUAAGGACUUUAAAAACCAUAACUGUGAUACUUUACCACAUUUCAAAAAUUAAUAAUUUCAUUUUAAACAGGUUUGUUGAAGAAUACUACAAACAGCACCUAUGUGAAGUGAGUUUAAUCCAAGAAGCCACCUCUUUUCCAUGAGAGUUGUGAACAUUUUCAUUGCCCCCCAAGUGUCUUUGAGUCCCUUUGUGGUCCCUCCCUCUUGCUCCAUCCUGCCUGCUCCCCUUACUCAAGUUACCACUGACCUGUUUUCUGUCACUAGAUGUAGUUUGCAUUUGCAAGUAUUUUUAUAAAUGGAAUCAUCCAGUAUAUACUUUUUUUUUUUUUUUUGGUCCAGUUAAUAAAUAUUUAUUUUUUGGUACCAGGGAUUGAACCCAGGGGCACUAAAGCACUGAGCCUUUUUUAUUUUGUAUUGUGAAACAGAGUCUCACUCAGUUGCUUAGGGACUCCCUAAAUUGCCAAGUCUGGUUUUGAACUUGCAAUCCUUCUGCCUCAGCCUCCCCACAGACAUUACAGGCAAGCGCCAUCCAGCCUGGCCUGCAUUGUUACUUUUUAUAAAUAAUUGACUAUUACUGUAUCAAUAGUUCCCUUUCAUUUCUGAAGAGUGUUGUAUCAUAUGGAUAUAAAGUAUCUAUAUACAGAAUGGAUACAGUGUAGGUUGUUUACUCAUUCGCCUGUGGCUGAACACCUGGGUUGUUUCCAGUUUUUGACUAUUUGGAAUAAAAUUGCUGGAAAUAUCCAUGUUCAAGUCUUUGCUUAGGCAGCUGCUUUCCUCAUUCUUCAGCAAAAUACCAGGAGUGGAGUGGCUGGGCCAUUUAGUAGAUGUGUGUUUAACUUUUUUUUUUUUUAAUAUUUAUUUUUUUAGUUUUCAGCGGACACAACAUCUCUGUAUGUGGUGCUGAGGAUCGAACCUGGGCCGCACAGACGCCGGGCGAGCCUGCUACCGCUUGAGCCACAUCCCCAGCCCGUGUGUUUAGUUUUUUAAGAGACUACUUUUGAAAGUGCUGGACCUUUCUACUUUUUGAUCAACGGUUGCUCUGCUCCUGUCCAGCCUUGGUGUGGUUAGUCUUUUUAUUUUUAGCCACUCUAGUGGGCACACAUUUAUUUUGUUAUUAUUGAGUUUUAGGAAUUCUUUCUAUAUCCUGGAUAUGAGUCUCUUAUCAGAUAAAUGAUUCAUGGGCAUUUUCUCCCAUUCUGUGGGUUGUCUCUGUAUUUUCACAAGGGUCCUUUGAAGCACAAAAGCUUAAUUCUUUGAAAUCUACUUUAUUUAUUUUUUUUCUUUGGUUGCUUGUGAGAAACCAUUGCUAUGCUGAGGUCAGAAAGAUUUACAUCUGUUUUCUCCUAAGAGUUUAUAGUUGCAGCUCUGACAUUUAGGUCUUUGAUUCACUUUGAGCUAAUUUUUGCAUAGGUGUGAGGUUAAGAUCUAGCUUCAUUCUUUUGCAUGUGGAUAUUCAAUUGUCUCAGUGCUACUGGUAUCCAGCCAAUGCUACAAUAUUCAAUUGUUUCAGUAUGCUUGAAAUCAGGAGUGUGAGUUUUCCAACUCUAGGUCUUCUCAAGAUUGCAUUGCCUAUUUUGGGAACUUGCGUAUCCAUGUUAGGUUCUGCUUGUCGAUUUCUAUGAGGAAGCCAGUUGAGAUUCUUCUGCAUCUACUGAACGGUUUAUCCUGGUGUGCACAGCACCACCAUAAGUAGACAUCUGCCCCUGCCCUUUUCUGCUGAGUCAUUCUUCAGGGUGGGGCUGCCUGUUCUCUACUGGCCCACCUGGGGGUGAGCUCCAUUCUUUAUACGAUGUUCCAGGUAGAGCUGGAGCUAGUACUAGAAGCCAGAGCCCCUGCCUAGUCAUCUGUUGGACUUGUUUCUCAAGGUUCUCUCUUCCUCCUGCUCUUGUAAAUUGGGGGUGGGAGGUUAAGCAGUAUGAAGAGGCAAGAAUGCUGAUUGAGCAGACCCAUCCUGCACCGUAGGAUCAUGGGAGAUCCUCGUACCCCCGCUCCCCAGCCACAGCCUCUCAGAUGUGAAGCAAGCUUGCUCAACGCAUUGUCUAGCAAACUCUGGUUGGCAGAGGGCUCUGUGUCCUGGCUUCCCCAGUGUGAUCUGGGUCCCUCUCUCAGGCAGUCAAGUGCAAAUGUAACUGUAUUGCAGGGGGACACCUUGUGUGUACCUGGACAAUGAUUCGCUCCACAAGCUGGUGGAAACAGCAGGUAAUUACUGUCAAAAGCUGCAGGCGAGCUGUGUCCUGUGACAGGGCACUUGAGCCGUGUGCCACGGAACAUCGUCACUGAUGCUGUCCUUGCUGCUGCUGUUGCUGUGCACUGGAGGGGGCUGGGCACAGGCUCACUGCUCCAAAGAGGAAGAGAUAUACAGGCCUCGAGAGGGAGCCUCGGCUUUGUAUACCUGGAAGGACAGUGUGCACCUGGGUAUCAGGGAAAGGGCAGGUGGAAGUGAGGCUACUUGGGGUGGAAGCAGAGAGGGGGUAGGUGGUCGAGGGAGGAUGGGGCAAGAGCUCAUUUGCUAGUCCAGGGGCUCACCUAGCUCAGUAGGGAUUGGGCUCACGGCCCCACUCCUGGCUGUGUGCACCUGCUGUGUUUGAUGGUGUCAUGUCAACCUUUGCUUCAGGUGAGACAGGAAGUGCACCUCAGAUGAGCUGUUCUCAUGCUGCUGGGCUCUCUGGGGCUGGUGGGACCAUCUGGUGGCCUUGGCAGCCUCAGGCUGUCCCUCCAGUGGGCCCCAACAGACUCCAGAGCCCACCUCCUGCUGCCAGAGGAGCCCCGAGUUUCUUGCUCCAAAGGAACCUGUGUUUCAGGGGGCUUGGGUUGAGAUGAGGGAGAGAGAAGAGCCAAGUAAGUGCCCAUAGGGGAUCUCCCCCACUCUGACCCCUGUGUGUCACUCUCACCUAGGAAGGACUGUGAUCUAGUAGUCUCACACUGUGCCUUUCUCUGGGGGCCUCCUCCCUCCCUUCUUCAUGGGGCCUCAGGGCUCCUGAAUAGUCUCCAUUUCCUCCUGGCCAACCCCACCCUAGAGGCCUGGCUCACUGGGAUGUGCAACCUGUGGUCUCCCUGUGUCCCCAAGACCCUCCUCAGUGGCAGCUCCAGCACACAGAGGCAGGGUGUGUCAAGCAGGGUCUGAUUUGUGAAACCAUGGCCACAAUUCACCAGGGAGUGUGGCAGGCAUUCAGAGGCAUAAGCAGGUUCUGGCUGGGGCCUGGUGCUGUUAGGACGUUCAGGGGCAGCUCAAGGGAUGGGAAGUGAGUGAAUAGGAUUGGGGACGGGGGGGGGGGGGGGGAGGGGGGGGGGGGGGGGGGGGGGGGGGGGGGGGGGGGGGGGGGGGGGGGGGGGGGGGGGGGGGGGGGGGGAAGGCCCAGCUGCAGCCAGGAGGAGCUGGGGACAAAUGCAGGAAGGCAGAAAGCAAUCAGGAGUGCUGAAUCCGACUGCACCAUCUGAGUGGAAGGGACCAGGCUCUCUCUUUGGUUCUUAUGGAUGCUUUGAAGCUAAUGGAAGACCCGACUCUUCCCCAGCAAAAGUUGCAGACACACAGCCUGGAGUCUAGGGCUUCAGUUGGAGAUGGUCGCAGACUGUGCAGCAUGCCCCAGGUGCAUGGCUGUGACCCCUAGGCUGGCUGUGAGGAACAUGGCUUUUUUCUGAGGAGUUCAGAUAGGAUCCUGGGACUAGAGCUGGGCUUUGGGCCAAUUUAGCAAUAGAAGGAAGCAGAGUGGGAGAGGAGGAGCUCUAUGAGGUCAUUCAGGGGUGGCUGGGAAGGGGGAGGACCUGGCUCCGAAUGCACCUGGUGCCCCAGUGUGGCUUGGGCUUUCUGUCAUCUCCCUGGUGACCCUAGGUCACAUAAAACUUUUGCUAUUGGCCAAUAGCCUGGCCUUUUUCAUGCUUCAGCUCCCACUCAUCUGUCUACACUAAAAUGAAAACAUGGUCCUAUCCCACAUGAUUGUCUGUCACAUUCCAGACACAUGCCGUCAUUCCUUUAUCCUCAGGGUGACACUCUGAGGCAGUAUAUUGUUAGCUUCACUUUACAGGCCAGGAAACUGAGGACAAGAGGUCAGAUCAGCUGCCCAGUGUGGACAGUAGAGGAGCAGGUGUUUGAAAUCAGAAGUAAAUGCUUGCCUGCUGGGUGCCAGAGUAGGUGCUCAAGUUAGUCCUUCAGUGAAUGUGAAGGAGACUCUUUCUCCCUUCAAAUGGGGUCUUUAAAAAAAUCCACCCUCAGCAGCCCUCAGUUCAAGAACAUAUAAGACAUUUCCAGAAAAGGGGCUGGUCCCCAGAAGGUAGCUGCCCUGAUGCUUUUCUAGCCCUCAAAGAGCAUCCUUAUUACAGUUUUCUUGAGUUGGAGACUGAUUCUAGUCUUUGGGCGGUGAGCACCAAAUCACAGGAUGCCUUGCAGACCCGAGACCUACCUGGUUCUGCCAUGUACCACUGGGUUGUCAGCAUCCCUGGGCAAUGGUCUCCCAGGGACACGACUGUAUGUGAAUAAUAGAAGCAGCUCAUUUUACAGAGGCUUGCUUGGCCCUGGGCUGAGCACAUCCUGCGGAUCUUCUAUAAUCCCAGGGUAACACUCUGUGAUGGAUGUUAUUGUUAUUCAAGCAGAGGAAACAGUCCAAGGUCACCUAAUUUGUAAAGACUGGCUCUGUGAUCCAAGGGUAUCCAGAUCCAAGGAUCCAAGGACACUCUGUGCUUACCCCGGUGGCCUUUGGGCCUUUUCCUAUGAAACCAGCAGCUCUAGGGGUCCUUGUGGCAGGGCAGAUCACCAUGCAAUGCUGGCGGCUCCUGGCUCUAACACUUUGAAUCACAGAGCCAGCCCCCAUUUUCAGCAACUUCCUGCAGACAGAUUUCUCCUUCUUUGUGGACUCUGAUGGAAAUGACACACUGCCAGGGUGUGGUGAUAGGCACAUGUCAUGCUGGGCUUACACACUGGAGGCCUCGGGAGUGUGAGGUCACUGUGCUGUGCCUGCUGCAGUGCUGUUUGCAUUGGGCAUGUGUGGGCAGUGGCUGGCACGGCUCCCUGGUGGGCACUUCAUGUGCCUGCAGCCUCAGGAGCCACCAUGAGCCCAUCAGUUCACACAGUGAAAUGUGUCAGCCAGCUUCCUGUGACUUCAAGAGACAAUGAACUUAUAAAGAGAAAAGUUUGGUUUUGGCCCACGGUUUGAGAGGUUUCAUUCCAUGAGUUGUCCCUGUUGUGGCACAUCACAGCAGGGACAUGCGGCAGAGCCAAACCACUCACCUCGUGGCAGGGAAACCAAAGAGGAAGGGGCUGCUGUUCCACUGGCUCCUUCAAGGGCACACUCCAUGACCUGAAGACCACCCUCUAGGCCCCACCUGGUGAAGUUUCCACCAUCUUCCAACAGUGCUACUUCACAGAUGAGUCCUUUAACACAGUGGCCUUUGAGGGACACUUAAGUCGCAGACUAUAGCAGUGAGCAUAGCCCCCUACAGCCGAGACACUGAUUCUGCUCCAUCCCCACCAUAAUCCUAUCAUAGAGAUUUCCACCACAAGAUGGAAGCAUGGGUUUUAAUCUGAAAACUCAGAAUAUUUGAUUGUUGGAUAAAAUUUAUUAUUAUUAUUAUUGGUACCAAGGAUUGAACUCAGGGGCACUUGACCACUGAGCCACAUCCCCCAACCCUAUUUUGUAUUUUAUUUAGAGACAGGGUCUCACUGAGUUGCUUAGUGCCUCACCUUUGCUGAGGCUGGCUUUGAACCUGCGAUCCCCCUGUCUCAGCCUCCCAAACCACUGGGAUUACAGGCGUGUGCCGCCGUGCCCAGGCAUUAUCAUUAUUACUGACUUUAUCAUUUAUUUAUUGACUUUAUCAUUAUCAUUAUUUGUGAUGCUGGGGUUUGAACCCAUGGCCUCUUGUAUGCUAGGCAAGUGGUCUACCACUGAGCUACCCCCUCAGCCCUAUGAUUAUCAUCGUAACUGGCACUGGAGAUGGAGCGCAGGCCUUAUUCAUGCGAGGCACAUGCUCUACCUCUGAAGACGCCCAACCCACCCCACUCCCCUUUUUUGGUACUGAGGCUGGCAUCGUCAGCAUGGCUGGACGGUCUCCCCCCAUGGAAGUGGGACCAGAGGCCAAUAGGGCACUGUCUAGGAGCCACAGACCGAGGAAGAGUCAGGAUGCUCAUGCGCCUGGAUGAAAUGCUGAUGGGCUUCUAUCCAUUGCCUGCUCUGAUCCUCCCCGCACACUGGGAAGGGGGCAGGAUGUGUUUCAUAUCUUCACCUGAAUUGUUUGCAGUAGCUGGCAGCUGGGUGAUCUGCCUGUGGACCUUUCAGCUGGCUGUGGCCAUCACCACUAGGACGGCAUCCUGGGUUCUACUGCAUCCCAAGUUUCCUCCUUUUGUGCUGGGGAUUAAACCUGGUUCAGUGGUGCUUUACCAUUGAGUUUCCUCCCCCAUUCUUUUAUUUGUUUGUCUGUUUUGAUACCAGGGCUUAAACACUGAGCCACAUCCCCAUCCCUUUUUUAUAUUUUAUUUUUUUAAAUUUUGAAACAGAGCCUCACUAAGUUGCCGAGUCUGGUUUUGAUUCUCCUGCCUCAGCCUCCUGAGCCGCUGGGACCUUUUUAUUUUUUAAAUUUGAGACAAGGUCUUUCUAAGUGGCUGAGGCUGGCCUCAAACUUAUAAUCCUUUUGCCUCAGCCUCCCGACUUGCUGGGAUUACAGGCAUGUGCCACCAUGCCUGGCUUGUGGGAGAGAUUUGAAAAAUAGCGAAAAAAGAAAAUGAAUCAACAUUUGGAGAUCCUGGGGGUCGGUCUUAUCCAUGAUGGAAUUGAGCUGGGGACCCCUGGUCAGGGCUGCCCACAGCAAAAACAAAUUUAGAAUCUCCAAGAAAUAUAAAUUUUGGGUAGACAACAAAUGAUUUUUUUUUUUUUUUUUGUACAACAAAACGAGUUCCAUGUGACUUUCAGAAUAGCUCACACUGAAAAAUUGCUUGUUUUUCUGCAAUUCUAAUUUAUCUGGGGCAGCUUGUAUUUGUCUGGCAGUCCUAAAGAGGGAGGGAGUUUGGACAUGGGAUGGGGUUCUGGAAAUCGGGAUGAUGAGUAAACCUAGGAGCAGUGAGAGCAGAGCACCCGUCAUUCUUCCUCCUGCCACGUGCUGGGAGCGCCUACGUCACCCACACCCGACCCUCAUGACUGGCUCUGGUCUCCAGCUCCCUGCCUGCUUCCGGCCCCUUAAUUGGAUGAAGUGUGCAGCCGGGCGCCCGAAGAGGGGAUGGUGGGGCUGCCGGGUAGGGAGGGAAAUUAACCUCAGACCCAGGAGUCGCACUGGCUGGUGAUUUAUUGAUUGCCUUGAAAUAAUAGUGAUUGAAUAAGAAGCCAGCCAGGCCAGCCGGGAGGCAGAUGACGGCUGUUCAUGGGAUUCACGAUUCACCAAUUGACCGCUUCCUCUUCCUCUUUCCUUGUGGUCUUUGAUUGUCAUUAGGUUGUUCUGCAAGAGCAUCACCCACCCUUUCCUAGACUGAGAAGAAAGUGGGGCUCACUCUGUGGGAGAGGCUAAGAACAGCAGAUUAGCCCUUGUCACCAGAACAGCAAAGUCCUGGGAACCUGGAGCCGAGUCUGGAGGACAGGCUCCCUCCCACCGCCCUGUAGGACACUGUGACUUGAGAGUUGGCACAGUGCUGGACUGUGGGCUCCAGGGCCAGGGCCUGCCCACUCACACCCCUUCACAGUUGGGUGUCCUCGGACACAUCUAGGAGGCCUCUUAAAUCAGGAGAAAAGACCUGCCUUCAGGGUAGACGUGUGGCCCUAUGGGGUAAAUGACCUUGACAGCCCUUCUCAUCUGGCCCUAGAGGUCACCUUCAAAAGUUGCAAACAACUAGCUUUAUGGAGGGACACUUUACCUGUGCAGGUUCCCCUGUGUCACCAUGACCCUGACAAGUCCCCUCGGGCCCUUCCUGGUACAUCUCUCCAGCCAGCACUGGACAGUUUGCCCAUCCCUUCAGGGGUGCCAGGGAGGGCACUUCAGGCCCUUCCUUGUCCUUUCCUCUUGGUGGUACUGGGGAUGGGGCCCAGGGCCUCCUGAUGGGGGGCAGGUCUUUCACCACUGAGCCACACCCCAGCUCCCCGUGCUGCAUUUCUGAAAGGCAGGAGUCACAUUCCUUGGAUAUGGCAAGUUGGCAACUCAGAUUGCCACCCUCCACCUCCUCCAUCUGUAGACGACAGUCCUGAGAGAGAAACUGGCUUCCCAGAGUGCAGAGGAUAAAUUGGGCACCAAACCCAGGACCUGACUAUUGCAGCACCAGGGCCUGUGGAAGGGUCACAGGCCUCUCUGUGGGAGAGAAAAACUCAAGUGAACUCAAAAACCAUGUCUUAGGAUCAUGUAUUAGUGGGACACCGUGUGCCACUGUGACUCCUUUGAAAAGCAAAUGGGCUCACAGGCCUCGGUGGAUAGAAAGGGUCUAGACAGGGGUCUGGAGAGUUCUUCUGCUGCACUUCUUUUUGGCUGUGUGACGCUGGAUUGAUGGUGAUUGUGGCAUUGUUUAGCGGUAUUUCACCCUGGAUGGGCACACACUGCUCCCCUCCCUGGAGCUCCCUACAGACCUCUCUCUGGACAUGUCUCCCACUGUGACCUGAGUCAGUGCAAGUUGGAAGCCAGGCUGUUUCCUCUGGCCCAGGGAGGGCACUUCAGGCCCUUCGCAGGGUCUUCAUGCUGUGAAGACAGGCGCUCUGGAAAGGCCUUGGAGGUGGCCCCGUCUCCCACAGCCCUCCAGAAGGAACCCUAUCAUGUGCACAGAUGUCAGACUACCCCGACACCCCUCCAGAUUCAGGGCCUGUCUGUCCUGCCAUCUGCCUGCAGGAGCAGACACACAGGCAGAGACUCGUCUCUGUUGGCCGGUGGACUCGGCUCCCCCAGGCAGGCCUGGCCCAUUUAUGUAUUUCUGGAGCUUCAACAGCACUUGGCACCAUGGCCUACACCAGUAGGCACUCGCCCGUUAAUUGAGUUGGGCUGAGUCUUCAAAGGCAAAUGAAGUGGAUUGUCUAAAUAAAAAGCUGCUCUUAGGUACGUACCCAAGAAAGGAAAAUGCAUGUCUACGAAAACCUUUUUUUUUUUUUUCUUUUAAUGUUUUGUAGUUGUAGAUGGACACGAUGCCUUUAUUUUAUUUGUUUAUUUUUAUAUGUGGUGCUGAGGAUCGAACCCAGUACCUCACACAUGCCAGGCAAGCACUCUGCCCCUGAGCUACAGCCCAGUCCCCCACAAACCUUGUACCUGAAUGUUCACAGUGGCAUUAUUUGUAAUAGCCAAAAACUGUAAAUCCAAAUGUCUAUCAACUGAUGAUGGACAAAAAAUGGUGUCUUUAUUUAACAGAAUAAUAUUCAGCCACUAAGAGGAAUGCAGUACACAUGCGUGCUGUAACAUGCAUCAAUCUUGAAAACGAGUAAAGGCAGCAAGACUCAAAGGGCCAUGUGUUGUAUGACUCUGGUAUAGGAAAUGUCCAGAAUAGCAAAUCUGUGGAGACCGGGAGCAGACCGGUGGUUGCCAGGGGAUGGAUGGGGAAGGGACAUGGGAGUGACGAUAGAUGGGUGCAGGGUUCACUUUGGGGUGACAGAAGUGUUCUGGAAUGAGAUCACAGUGAUGGUUGCCAGUUUGGGCUAAAAGGGAAAACAUGAAGUGGCCCUAAGGACUGUGACAUUGGUGGCCCCAGGCACCAUGAUGCCCCAGCCAGCUGCAAGGCGUUAUGAUAUUCCCCCGACCCUGUGAGCUCCAGCACCGGGCAUCUCCCCGACCCCCUCUAGAGAGGGGACUGAGCUUCCCUUUGGCUCAGCAGAGGCUCCAGCUUCUAGAACACAGCAGAGGAGCUGACAGCUGACUGAGGGGCAGGCCCUGGAACCUCCCACCUCGCUCUCCUUCCCGUAAAUGUGGGCCCACACCCCUCCCCCCAGCCCUGCUGCCCAGGAGCUCCAAGGACAGGCCCAGGACUAGAGCUGCCUCCUGGAGAGGGAGUCAUGGCCUUGGGCCAGCUCAUGGGCAGGGCCUUGAGCUAGUCAUCACUUGCCAACUGAUUGGCUUCUGGGAAAGGCAGGUCCAUCUGGGAAGCUGGGCUAGGCAGCAAACAGACUCACCGUGGGGCCGGAUAGUGAUAGAUGGCUGGCCCUGGUGUGCCACAGCCCACAGCGCCCCAGGGCGGCAGUAUCAGCAGCCAGAGACCUUGAUCCUUCCUAAUGGAUGUUCCUGGACUUAACAAAAGGGGCUAUGUGCUGAUAAACCUAUUGCAAAUUGAAAACAUUGUUAAGGCAAAGAUGCAUUUAGGCUACCGAACAGCCUCGCCUCGCCGUCUCUCCAGCCUUAAACAUGCUCCCACAACUCAUGUCAGCCAAAUCACCCAACACACAAAACCUAUUUUAUCAUAAAGUGUUGAAUAGCUUGUGUAAUUUACUGUAUCCACAAAAGACUGUCACACGGAAUACUGUAGGGUACCACUUGUUCCCCCGGUGAUCGUGGAGCUGACUAGGAGCUGUGGCUCACUGCCACUGCCCAGUGUCAGGAGAAAGGAUCAGAUUACACAUUGAUAGCCCAAGAAAAGACCCAGACUAUCCCUUUUAUACCAUCAUAAGUUUGAAAAUUGCUAAGUUGAAGUGUCAGAAGCUGGGGACCCUCUUCACAUGCACAUGCACAUACGUAUGGGUUCAGAUUCAUGCCCCACCCAGAGAAGGGACUUCUCACCUAAUUAGAACCCCAGACUGCACAUUUGUCCUUCUGCAUGUUCCAAGUACCUUCCCCCCUUCUCUUCCCUUCCACCCCGUGCAUUCAUCUGGGCACUGGGCUGGCCGGGCAGCAGAAGCCCAGCCGCGGGAGCAAGCAUCUGUGCCUUGACAUUUGGGGAAGGCAACCAGCGAGGCCCUUGGAAAGGCAGGGGAACCCCCUGCUUGCUUCCCUGCCCUGACAGUUUCUAAAUGUUGAGGUUCCAGACGUGAUUAGUUGGAAGAAGCAAAAGGAUUCUGUGGCUAAGAAUUACAAGUUUGGUAACCGGUGCCUUCAGGAGAGCACAGGAGGAUGGGGAGGGGCUUCCCAUUCCUUCCUUGGAUGGAAUACCAGGGGAGUCUCCAGGGCAGGAACAGGACCCAGGGUGCUUCCACUAUUCCGAGAACUUCCUCUGGCUCUUCUUGCUUCUCCUGUCUGCUGGGCCUUUUUGGAAUUGUACAUAAUGGGACCAAGGGAGUGUAGAAACCCUGCAAAGGUGGCCCUGAGGCAUAGCUGGCUGGCUGAGGCAGGAGGCAGGUGCUCCUGUGCGCUUCUCCUUCCUUGGCACUGGGGAUUCGGGAACCUGGGAACACAGAGGGGGACUUGUCCCCCCACGCCCUUGCCCUGAAUUCUCCCUGAUAAACUCCUCACACUUUGUUCCCCUUCUUUCUGCCUGUCAUGUAGGUUGGGAGAUGGGAACAGAAAACCCGCCAGCUGAGCAGGGCCUUCGGAUCCCCCUACCUGGCCUGCUACUCCCUAGGUGGCGUCAUCCUGCUCUUAAAUGUCCUGCGCUCACACUGGUAAGCCACCCAGGCUGGUCCGCCUUGUGCAGGUCACUGUCACUGUGAAAACCCAUGGCCCCAGAGUUGGAGGGCUGUGUCGGAGGGGCUGAUACGACGUGGGGACUCUUGUGUCUGAACACACAGGGAGCUCGGCUCUCCAGGGCCUCGUGCCACAGCACAGCCUCUGCCAGCAGAGGGAUCCUAGGGACCUCAGAAAGGAGACACUGUGAAUUAGUCUGUUUCAUUGUAAAGGGGUCUGGGACAUGGAGAAACGGAGGGGGACAUACCAGGUGGUCCCCAGGCUUAUAGCCCCAGAGUCCCAUCCAAGAACUGCUGGGCAGGGGGCAGAUGCCCAGGGUGGGAGCCCCAGGGGUCAGAAUCUGAC